rnacentral:lncRNA from 1 species
UCCUGACAUUUAGGGGUUGUGGCAGUGUCCCGGGGAGUUGAGCUCCGAGGUGUUGUCGUCACAAUUUUAUCGUUGCAGUUCUGGAAUACCUGAGUUUCGCCGACAUCGAAAUCUCUUUUAUGCAGUUGUUGGUGAGAUCACCUCGACGCCACCCAGUACUAGGGCGGGAGUUCGGGAGUAUUGCCAUAACUAGUAUAAUGGAUGCUUUUCGAAGGUUGAGGUAAAUAAUUUCCGAAGGUUUCUUGGUUAUGUGUUGAAGGAUGGAUACAGCUGGAUCUAGGUAUUGUUAGUUUGGGUGAUAUAUUUUGUGUCCCCUGUAUCCCCAACACCUGAUUGCAUAACCAGAAAGUUUCCGGAGUUUAUAAGUGGGAAUUCAAGUAGCUCUUAGGAUAUAGUUCCGACAGAUGCAUGAUAUGAGAUUGGGGUUCGACGUCUAGUGGUCCGCCUGUACACGGUUGGUUUUACAGUGGUCUCGUAGUGUCUUAAAGAGUCCUUGGCUAUGCCGACUCGGGGACGCUUCGUAUGUCAUGUGCACUGCCUUGUACAUGAUGGUGUUGUACGAUCGAGCCCGUGUGGGCCCCACCAUGAAAACUUCGGAUGAAAUCUCUAUCAUAUGUUUGUUCCGGCUUAUUCCGCAAGCCAAAUCCUUUGUUUUGUUUUGUUUUGUUUUGUGGUAUUCGAGUUGCUUCAAUGCCAAGUGUUGAUUCCAUACCUUUUCUAAACGGUGUUCUCAUAUUGCUAUGUGAAUACUAAUCCUUCUUGAUCAUCGAGAUUGCCAUCUUAAUUCUAUUUCCAACCGGUGCGUUUCUCUUCAAGAUGAUCCCAUCAUUCUCACCAUCCGCAAGAUCAAUUCUAAGCUUUUUCUCGACGGUGUUCGUUUCAUCACAAGUUGCCUUUGUUUUCCCGCCCUCCCACCCUUUUUCUUGAAACACUCAGAUUUCUUAAUCAAGUAUCCAUUUUAUUCAUGUGAAGUUUUCUCCAUUCUUUUCCAUCAAUGUUCUUAUCUGGUGAUUCUCGGGAAGAUGCUCAGGAAGCUUCAGGGUUAUCAUUCUUCAUUCUAGUAUUCUUUUUCGAUGGAUUCAAUUGAAGCUUUCAGUGUUGAUUAUAGCCUUUUCCUCCUUUCAAAUGCUUUCUCAUGCCGGUGCAUCUCUUAAUCAUUCUUCGCGUGCUAUUCAAUUGUUCCGGAGUGCUGAAGAUAUCUCUGAAGAUUCGUGUUUCCACUCUGCAUCAAUUCUAACUAUUUCGAGGUUGUUACCUCAUUCAAGCCAUUUAAUUCAACCGGUGCAAUCUCAUUUUCAAGUAAUCAUUUCAACGGUGUUUCUUUUGAGUGGGCCCUAACCCACAGGUCUUUUUCCAAGAUCCUACCUGACUCUUCUAAUUCUUUCCGGAGUUAUUCUUAAAUUCUUUUCAAAGUUUGACGUAAGAAUUUUCAUCAGUCAUAUGUCUUUCUCCAAGAUCUUUCAAAUUCUUUCAUCGUUGGUUCAACCUUUCUAAUUUUCAUCCCGGAGUAUCUCAACAAUUCAUGGUGGUGUUUCUUGUCGUCAUUCUCAACAUUUGAAGACCGAAGAAGAGUUUCUCUUAAAUCUUAUCUGUUCUCUUGAAGAUUCAUGGUUCUAGCUUAUGCCAUCCUCUCAUAAUUGUUUUCGAUUGUGAGAAUUCUUCUCAUACCCAUCCGGAGCAUUUCAGAGUUGUUUUCAUUUCUUGAUCAUCCAAAGGCCAUCAUUUUAGAAGAUUUCUCCGUUCUAAGUUUUCAGCUUCGUUCUCCAAUUAUUCUAAAUUGAUGUCUCUUCGUUCAUCUCCAUAUUAUUCCGGUGCAUCAUCCAAGUAUUCUCUAAUCAAUUCUUGAUCUCUUCGUUUCACUUGUAUCUAAAUUCUGUCUAGUAUCUUUAUUCGUUUUCUAAUUCUUCUCAGUGAAUUGUACCUUUGCUAUUUUCAUUUUCAAUUCUUACGGUGGUUCGUUCAAGAGUUCUCUUUCUUGGUUAUCAUUUUAAUUCAUUCGUUGUUUCCAAAUUCCACCGGUGGUUCCAUCAAUACCUUCUGAAGUUUGCGCUAUAUCUCUCUUCAAUCCUUUUUUUUCUACGAGAAUUAGUAGUAUGCAAAAAUCCAUUGCUUGUCAUCAAUCUAAAUUGGUGAAGGCUAAGCAUAAUGUAAUUCUUAGUAUUGUUUCAUCCAAGUGAUUAAUUCCUUAUUCCGGAGAUUCAUCAAAAUUCUUGAUCUCUUUUGUUCAUUUUUCUUUCCGGAGCUCCAAGUUAUUUCAAUUAUACCAUUUCAAAGCUUCAUCUAAUCAUUGCAAGGCUUCUCCCGGAGUUCUUUUCAACUUUCCCUUUCGUUUGAUCAUUCUUUUAUUAUCGGAGUUCUUCAUGGAGGAUCAACAUGGUGGCUCAUCAAGGAUUCGUUUCAUUCUUCAAUUGUUCUUCAAGAUUUCUCUCGGAAUUAAGAUCCGUCAAGCUAUACUCUAAAAUAAACAUGGUGUUCAACACAUGUCUUGUUUUGAGGAGUUCAAGCAUUCUUCAUCUUGCAUUCUAAAGUGCAAUUCAUUCUACCUUAUCAUUUGAGGUGGUGUUAUGUUAUUCUUGACAAUUGAGUUCGCGUUUCAUGAUUCACAUGUUGUCAAGAAUGAAAUAUUUUAAAUCCACCAAUGUCUUCGUUGGAUUUAUCUUGUGUCAUGUUUCACCUAAAGCCUUCCCUAAGGAAUGUUGCUAAUUGUGGUGUCUAACAAUGAUCCAAGUUUUCUCCUAUCCUCUCGGCGAGAGAAGUUUUCAUCUCUUCGUUGAUCUCAAGCAAGCAAUUGUUUUCGUUAGUGGAAAAUGUUCACCUCAUAAUUUUGAGAAGUUUUCCAUAAGCCCACUACAAGAUUAUUCUUUUCGUUGUUUAUUUUCCAACUACUCCGUUAUAACCUUCUUGGAAGGGUGUUUUCCAAGCUCAUUGGUGGCAGGUGUUGUCAUUUUCUUCUCCAUUCUGUUAUUCCAAUGAUCUAUCUUCUAUUCUUUCUUCCAGAGGUUUUGUGAUGUUGCUCUCUUCGACCAAUCAUCUUGUUUUGUCAAGAUCAUGUAAUUAUUUUUUCCUUUCUUAUCCAUUUAACCGGAGUGUCGUGUUUUCAUUCGAGUUCUCUCAUCUUAUCAGGUUUUGUCUCCUCCCUCAACCGGAGUGCUGUCUGAAAUCUUUCUUACCCCUUGUGCCAUUCUUUCAUUAGUACCGGAGGCAAUGUGUUGUUAAUUUCAUCGAGUAUCCUCUCAUAUUGUCAAGAUCAUGUUCAAUUCCUUCCAUUUAUAGUCAGAGUGCUGCCCAAAUUAUAUCAUUCUCAUUCCUUCUUUAUCUUGUUUUAACCGGAGUGUUGAUGUCUAUCAUUCCUCUUCUAACCGGAGUCUCAUCCAAGUGCUUUCAUUUUGCCAAGUCCAUAUUGUACCCCUUCCAUUUUCCAACCGGAGCGUUAUCGUAAUUGAUCAUUAUCGUUCCUUGUACAUCGCGUUUCAACCGGAGUGCUUGCAUGUAUUUCUCGUCCAUUGUUCUCGUCUUUCAUAGCUUUGCAAACUCCAAGGUUCUCAUGGUGUUCCUUGUCUCUCUUUUCUACCGGAGUCUUCUCAAUUUUGUUCAUCUCUGUUGUGUCAUUUCCUCAAGCUUUGCGACCUCUCAAGGUUCUUUGGUUUCACUCGUUUGUCAUAGAAGCAAUUUGUUUUAUCUCUUCCCCUUCCAUUUCUUUCCGGUGCCAUCCUAGAUCUCGGGACGAGAUCCUCUUGUAGUGGUGGAGUGUUGUAAUGCCCCGAGACCGACGCUCCGUUUGCCUUCCUUGUUUUGCGAGUCAGCUCUGUUUUAUUUGUGUGUUGCAUUCAUCAUCGCAUAAUUUACAUUGCGUCGGCACUUCGUUGCCGUCAUGUUUUAAAAAUUUGCAUUCGUUCGUAGUUGCCGCGUUCCCCCCUUGUCUUCGUUGACCGUUCCGAGACCAACCGUGUUUUCGGUUCCCUCUUGUCAAACCAACUAACCUCUCUCGUUAACCACCCACCCCCUCUGGCGUGCCUCCGAAAACUUCCCUGAACCCAACCCGAACUGUUGUGACCGUUGGGUCCGGAUCAUCCCCUAACAUCUACAAAAUAUCUCCGUUUUCUUCAUUGGACAUCCUAACCUAUAUUUUCCCAGCCCUCCGAUUACGAUCGUAGGGACAUGAUAGCCCCUACCCUAAUCUCAUUGCAGUAUAAAUAAUGACCCAACCCUAAUUUUUAGGGGAGCUGUCCCAUCAAUCCCUCCCCGCCGCCACUCCUCGUCCCCCUCGGGAUCCCUCCCGAUCCACCCAUUCCACCAACCAGAGACCUCCCUGCUCGAUCCCAAGGGGACCACGAGCAGCUCAUCCCCGCUGCCGACGGACCAGGCCGGACCUCGCGCCCCUGACCUUUCUCUUCCUUUCUUCUUCUUCCCGUGCCUCACAUCUCUCUGUUACCUCUCGUUCUCUCUCCCGCAGGAGCCCAUGGCGAGCCUGACCGAGCCCCUCACAUGGCGCCCUCGCGCCCGAGCUCUUCAUCAGCCCCGCGUCACCAGAGUCAAGCCACCGGCCGCCCGAGCCUUGUGCGCCUCUACCUCGAGGAACUCCUCGUCCCCAACCAGGACGCCAUGGUCGGCCUCCUCUGUUCGCCCCCUGCCUCGACAGGAGCUCCGCCAUGGCCGCCCAGGGCUUUCUCUUGCCUCGAUCCGUCAAGCCCACCGCCGGGAACGACCUCCACCUCCCAGGGCCCCGGCGACCUCACCGUCCGGGCCUCCUCCGCCUCGCCUUCCGCGCAAGUCCCUCGCCGACGCUCCCAGUUCUCGCUGCUGCCGCUGCUUCCUGUCGAGCAGGAGCCUCGACCCCAAGCUCCUCCUCUGCUUCUUCCCGGCGCGCCUCCGCCCCUUCUCCGGCCAAGUCCGGUGCCCCGUGGCCGGAUCCGCCGUCGCCUGCUCGUCGGUAGCCGCCGCCGUGCCCGCGACCCCUGCUUCCUGUCGCCAUGGCGCCGCUGUAGUUCUUCUGCAGUUAGAUGCAGCAGCGCUGCAUCGAGCACACGCCCGCGCCGCCGCGUGGGCUUCGUCGCCCUUCACCAGCAAGCAGGCCCAGCGCCCCCAUCCAGCCUCCCUCUCCAAGCCGAACGGGCCAAGGCCCACUUGGUGAGGCCACCCCCCCAGCGCCCUUUGUUAUUCUUCUGUUGGGCCUGCUCCGGUUUUAGAUUCAGCCCAGUGUAGUUUUUUUCCAUGUCUGCGAUUUAGCUAUUAUCCAAAGUAUUGCAGUUUUAUAGAAAAAACCCUCAUGUUCAUGCUUUAAUAAUUAAUUAACCGUGCAUCUUUUGUAAAUAAUUUAUAUAUGUAAAAUGCUCAGAAAUUUGUGUAGUUUAAUAAUAUGCCACUUUCAUCCCAUGUUAAAAUGUUUAAAAAUGUUGUUUGUUUAUUUUUACUCAAAUGCCAUGUUAAAAUGAUUUAAUUCAUAACUAAAUAACCGUAACUCGGAAUUUAAUAAACUUUAUAUGUAAAUGGGGUAGGAAAAUGCAUAGAUUAACAUGGUGCACUUUAUUUUGCUGUUUAACAAUAUUAAAAUUGCGUUUAUGGCAGAACAGUACCAAAUCUAAAUUAUGGACAUGAGGAUUUUCCGGAAAUUGUUGUUUGUUGUCCCGGCCUCAUUUAAAUUGCCUAAAAUAGGUAGUUUCCUUAUGCUUCACCUCUUGCCAUGGUUAACAACAUUUAAUAUUGUUGGGUACAUAAACAAGAGCGAACUAAAUAAUUAAAUGUGGUUUCGUCAAUAUGCAACUCGUUGCAUAUUGAGCUCCACUUAAUUUGUAGUGUUGUUUGUUGCACUUUGCCAUGCCAUGCCUCAUUAAACCGGACAUGCAUCAUAUUUGUUUUUGCAUCAUGCCAUGUGUAUGUGAUGGUUGUUUACUAUGUUGUUUGUUUCUUUCCGGGCUGCUUCUCUCGUUAGCUUCGGUGUCGUUCCGGAGUUGUGAGGAUUCGUUCGACUACGUCCGCUUGUCUUCUUCAUGGACUCGUUCUUCUUCCUUGCGGGAUCUCAGGCAAGAUGACCAUACCCUCGAAAUCACUUCUAUCUUUGCUUGCUAGUUGUUCGCUCUAUUGCUAUGCCGCGCUACCUACCACUUGCUAUAUCAUGCCUCCCAUACUGCCAUGUCAGCCUCUAACCUUUUCACCCGUCCUAGCAAACCGUUGUUUGGCUAUGUUACCGCUUUUGCUCAGCCCCUCUUAUAGCGUUGCUAGUUGCAGGUGAAGAUUAAGUUUGUUCCAUGUUGGAACAUGGAUAUGUUGGGAUAUCACAAUAUCUCUUAUUUAAUUAAUGCAUCUAUAUAUUUGGUAAAGGGUGGAAGGCUCGGCCUUAUGCUUGGUGUUUUGUUCCACUCUUGCCGCCCUAGUUUCCGUCAUACCGGUGUUAUGUUCCUUGAUUUUGCGUUCCUUACGCGGUUGGGUGAUUUAUGGGACCCCCUUGACAGUUCGCUUUGAAUAAAACUCCUCCAGCAAGGCCCAACCUUGGUUUUACCAUUUGCUACCACCUAUCCCCUUUUCCCUUGGGUUCUGCAGACUCGAGGGUCAUCUUAUUUUUAACCCUCCCCCCCCCCGGGCUAGUGCUCCUUUGAGUGUUGGUCCGAACUGAGUAGACUGCGGGGCCCCCUCGUGGAAACUUGAGGUCUGGUUUUACUCGUAGGAUGUCUCAUUCGGUGUUGCCCUGAGAACGAGAUAUGUGCAGCUCCUAUCGGGAUUUGUCGGCACAUCGGGCGGCUUUGCUGGUCUUGUUUUACCAUUGUCGAAAUGUCUUGUAACCGGGAUUCCGAGACUGAUCGGGUCUUCCCGGGAGAAGGUUUAGGUUUAUCCUUCAUUGACCGUGAGAGCUUAUAAUGGGCUAAGUUGGGACAACCCUGCAGGGUUUAAACUUUCGAGAGCCGUGCCCGUGGUUAUGUGGCAGAUGGGAAUUUGUUAAUAUCCGGUUGUAGAGAACUUGACACUUGACCCUAAUUAAAACGCAUCAACCGCGUGUGUAGCCGUGAUGGUCUCUUCUCGGCGGAGUCCGGGAAGUGAACACGGUUUCUGGGUUAUGUUUUGACGUAAGUAGGAGUUCAGGAUCACUUCUUGAUCAUUGCUAGCUUCACGACCGUUCCGUUGCUUCUCUUCUCGCUCUCAUUUGCGUAUGUUAGCCACCAUAUAUGCUAGUGCUUGCUGCAGCUCCACCUCACUACCCCAUACUUUCCUAUAAUCUUAAAUAGUCUUGAUCUCGCGGGUGUGAGAUUACUGAGUCCUCGUGACUCACAGAUACCUCCAAAAUAGUUGCAGGUGCCGACGAUGCCAAUGCAGGUGACGCAACCGAGCUCAAGUGGGAGCUCGAUGAAGAUCUUGUUCGUUGUGUUGUUUCUUAUCAUGUUGAUCAGUAGUGGAGCCCAGUUGGGAUGAUCGGGGAUCUAGCAGUUGGGUUGUCUUCUUUUAUUUUGGUUCCGUAGUCGGACCUAUGUGUGUAUCUCUGAAUGAUGUAUGUUUUAUUUAUGUAUUGUGUGAAGUGGCGAUUGUAAGCCAACUCUUUAUCCCUUUCUUGUUCAUUACAUGGGAUUGUGUGAAGAUGACCCUUCUUGCGACAAAACCACAAUUCGGUUAUGCCUCUAAGUCGUGCCUCGACACGUGGGAGAUAUAGCCGCAUCGUGGGCAUUACAAGUAUAGUCACUGCAUGCAGUGCCAUUUGAAAAUAGGCACAGAAAGAUUGGAUAGUCACUUCAUGGACUGCAGAAAAGUAGUACUGUACUAUUUAUUGGCCAACACUAGGUGCUUCAUUGCUUUGGUCUGAUUAUACAAUGGGCAUCAUUUUGCCUAAGUUAAAGUUUGUAUUCCGAAAAUAGUCUCGCCGUGUGAUCAAGCGAAGACCAAAUCAUAUUGCAGCGGAUGUUCCUCCAUCAUGUGUGGUUCAUUCUCAUGGUUCCAGCUGUUGGUGAAACCACUUAUGUUUGCAAGAGGAAUUGUAGACUUCACAAACAAAUUUGUCUUUCAGUCUGUACUGAAUGUUGGCCAAGAGAAGCAUGCAUGUUAGUAGGAAGAACAUAUGUUUUUUCUAGAUCUUUGCUUUUGGAGCUACAUAUUUGUAUAUGAUAUGGGAAUCAUUGAGAUGCAUUAACAUGUUGAUCUUAUGUAUGGGAAUCGUACUAGUUGGUUUUAGUUGUGGUUGAUCUUUGCUUUUGGAGCUACAUAUUUGUAUAUGAUCUGUGAAUCAUUGAGAUGCAUUGACAGUUCCUUAUAUUUGUUCGCUCAGUGGUUACAAGUUACUAAUCGAUCACUAGCUAGCCUACUAAUGCGCUCCUGGCAGUUUUAGUUGCGAUGCAAGAUCCAAAGUGGCAGUUUUUUGAAUAAAAAUGCCUACCUCUGAAGAAACUGACAAGCUGCUCUAAAGAAAAUGCCAUGCGAAUCUGAAGAAACUGCCAGCGAAAACGUUCGCAAAUGCCUUAUCUCCCAGCUAAAGUUCAUCAACUAAUGCCCUCGGCUGCGACUCGUUGCAUGCUGCUCCGCGUACUGGCUGCGAGCGAUUUUGAGUGCCUGCAUGCAGCCAGCCGUAAUUAAGGCAGCUAACUGAUGUGAAAAAAGAUGCGCUUUAAUUGUUGCGGGCCUUUUAAAUCCGUGGAAACAUUAUUGACAAGGAGGGAGAUGAUUCUAGUGCACUCGUUUGACCGUCAUGCCGGCGUGCGACCCAGCACGGACGGGACGGGGCGGCACAGUCAGAAUUUCUGUUUCUCUAGUUUUCCACGGCAAGCUGGCGCGCUAAGCCAUGCCUGCUUAAUUAUGCAUUGAAUUCCGAUGACCGUCGCGCUACCUUCCACCUAUAAGUACUGUUUCCCGGCCUUCUAUGGUGGCACUGUGACCCAACUCGCCCUAUCCUCAUAAGCACCCACCGGCCCGACGUCGCUCGCCACUUAUCCUCGCUCUCGCCACGUCCGCCAUGCCCCCGCCCGUCCGCGAUAGGCGAGGCCGGAGGCGGUCACCGCCGGAACUAGUGUUUGGUUUUUCACCGGAAGGCAGAUGGAGGGAGGAGGCAUUCUAUCGGUCUUUAGAUAGCAAUGCGGAGAUCAAGGACUUGUUGGAGCGCGACCCCCUGGUGGAGGAGCAGGAGUUGUUGGAGCGCGACCGCUUGGCGGAGGAGCAGUGUAUCGCCGAUUUGUGCCACCGGCAGGACAUGGAGCAGCAACGCACCGACGCUCCGAGUCGCGAGCAGAGCACCCGCACCUGGGCCAACUACGUGGAGGCCGACGCCCGGCAAAUAGCACAGGAGGCUGUCGGGCACGCACGCGUUCGCGAUGCCGAUUUUUACUACUAGCUCGUCAAGUGGGUUUCCCGCUUAGAAACCGAAGCUUCAGUGGACCACGCCGGCAUGGAAAGGGCCAACGCGCGCUAGCAACGCGCCCUAUCGCACCUCUGGCAAGUCCGAGGCGAGACGGAGGACGCCGGUGCCGGCAUUUAGCGUGUACCGCAGAUGGCUGCCAGCAUCGUCUAGUUAGCUAAGGGUAAGUUAGUACUUGUACGCUACUAGAGUAUUAGUGGGAGUAGAUAGUUAACUUGGCUAUGAUGGUUCUCAACGUGGAAGUUCAGUACUCUAUAUGUGGAUCGGACCUGUUACUUUGCUCUGAAUGUUGAACUUUCUGUUUGAACAUAUGGAAUGGGCUGUUAUUUUUUUAAAUGGGUUGUAUUUGUCCUCCACGGGUUUAGAGGCUGACUUGUGGGCCUACCAAGUUGACGCGUACACAAUCAGGAGAUGAUUGUACGUGGAGAGGAUGACAGCAGGGACCCGCCAAGGUCAUGGCAGUAUGCAAGCAAGUGCCUCCUUAUUUCAAUCCAAUAAAAAAUGGCUCCUCCUAAUGGAUUUCUGACAUCUGGGUCCCAUGCCAUUGUCAACGUAGUCAAUAAACGAGAGAGUUGCACAACCAGCGGCUGACACCAGGGACCCAGCAGCUCGCCCAGUUAUUUUUGUUUUGGGUUAAUUUGAUAAAUGCCACUCCAAAUCUGGUGUUUCUGAGAAAUGCCACUGCAAUUUCCAAACUUUGAAAAAUGCAAUUUCAUGCCAUUUCCAAUGGCGUUUUUCGAAGUCUGGAGUGGCGUUUUUCAAAAUUUGCAAAUUGCAGUGGCGUUUUCCAAAGUUUGCAAAAAUUGCAGUGGCAUUUUUCAAAGUUUGGAAAUUGAAGUGGCAUUUUUAUGAAUCGCCAUAUUUGUUGUGGCAUUUAUCUAUUUGUUUUUGAGACGGAAGCAGGGUGUCAACUGGGCUGUGCGGGGCACUCUGACCUGUCUAGACAGCCUUCUCUUUUAUGUUUACCACAGUAUAGCCCAGUAGUUUUUUUUUUCAUUCUGAAAAUGGCUAGCCCGGUUUUUUGUGAUUUGCCAAGUAAGUCGCUUUGUCAGGCCUGUUGGGCUGCAAAUCUGUCAAGACGAGGAGAGCUUCAUUUGGCUGGACGAGAAAAUGGCCUAUCAGUAAUGAGAAAUGGGAUGUAUAUUUUUAAAACACAUCAAACCAGCAAUUGCUUUCAAAUUUCUUUUUUUUCAUUUCAAGAUUUUAAAUUGCAUUAAUUUUUAUGCGUGGACAAUUUGUUGGAUUUUAUAUUGAUAUACAUUUGUUUUUAAAAUCAGUUUGAAUGUGACUCGAAAUUUCAGGAUUAAAAACAGUUCGGACCGCACCGAAAUAUGCAACAUUUCGUAUAAUUUUUUAACCGUGGCCACAAUAUGGGAUGUAAUGCUAACAAAAAGAAUAUGGGCUCCAAGAAAACCUUAAGAAUUAGCAAAUGGGCUAUAAAUUAUUAGAAAUAAUGCCAGAUGGGUUGUAUGAUGUUUUCCACACAUUUGAGGCUUUCCUAAAAAAAGGUUGACGCACAAGCAGUAACUGUUGGAUGUCCAUCCAACGGCCGUCGUGCUUCUUCAAUCUCUGCUCUUCCUGCUCCAGCCGCUCAAACAAGCAUCGGCGGGACUACCUGCUCCCUCCUCCUCGCAGCCGGUGUGCUGCCACGCAGACCUCACCGCCCACCGUUCUCCCAUCGCUGGCCUAGCCAUCCUCUACUCACCCACACCUGCUGUUAUUCUCCGGCGACGGCAGAAGAACCAGUAAACCCUCGUAUAGUCGUACUCCCCUCCGCGUGGGAAACAACUGCCGAGUCUUCCCUGCCUCCGUGUCGUUCCCUUCUUAGGCCUCGCCGUCGUCCAUCGCCCUGGUGCUCUCGGCGCGGCCUGGUCAACGUGGUCAACGACCGACAUGCAUCUGAAGUGGACUGUACGUGGAGAGGCUGGCAGCUGGGUCCAUGGCCGCACGCAAGGAAAUGCCUCCUUAUUACGCGCAAAAUAAUGAUUCCUCCACCUGACAUAUGGGACCCACCGAAAGGGCCACUGUAUUUCGUGAAAAAACGUUACCGCCGCUGACAGCUCGGACCCACCAGCAAUAUCUUCGCACGCAAGGAAGUGCGUCCUUAUUACGCACAAAAAAAUGAAUACCCCCUGCUAGCUGGGACCCAGUAUAGUGGCAGGCUGACUUGUGGGCCUACUAAGUUGACGAGGACGGAGGGCUUUGUCAACUUAGUCAAUAUGCACGAUUCUAGCUCCAGUGACCGUACGAUGCCCAUCCAACGGCCGUAGUGCUUCUUCAACCUCUGGUCUUCUUGCUCCAGCCGCCCAAACCAGCGCCGGUCGUGCCUCGUGCUCCUGCCUCCCGUGGUCGGCUGUGAUGCGGCAGAGGCCUCACCGCCCCCUACUACUCCCACCGCUUGCCAGGCCAUCCCUCUACUCACCCACACCCCCUGUUAUUCUGUGGCGACGGCAGCCUCACACCGCAGCGAUCCAGUGAACCCUCAUACUACUCUAUGCGUGCGCAUCCACUGCCACGUCUUCCCCGGCUCCGCGUUGUCCCCUUCCUAGGCCUCGCCGUCGUCCACCGCCCUGGUGCUCUUGGUGCAGCGUGGUCAACGUGGUCAAGGAACGACUUCCAUCAGAAGAGUACUGUACGUGGAGAGGCUGACAGCUGGGUCCAUGGCACCCUCAAGGAAGUGCCUCCUUAUUACGCCGAAAAUAAUUAUUCAUCCACCUGACAGCAGGGACCCACCGGACGAACCACUGUAUUUGGCGAAAAAACGUUUCCCCCUGACUGCUGGGACCCACCGGACGGGCCACCGUAUUUCGCAAAAAAAUGUCCCCCCCCCCCGCUGUCAGCUCGGACCCACCGGAAGUGUCACCUUGUUACGCACAAAAAAAUGAAUACUCCCCCUGCUAGUUGGGACCCACCUUGGUGGGUGGCUGACUUGUGGGCCUACUAAGUUGACGGGGAGGAGUGCUUUGUCAACUUAGUCAAUAUGAACGAUUCUAGCUCUAGUGACCGUACGAUGUCCAUCCAACGGCCGUUGUACUUCUUCAACCUCUGGUCUUCUUGCUCCAGCCGCCGAAAGCAGCGCCGGUCAUGCCGCAUGCUCCUGCCUCUCGUGGCCGGCUGUGCUGCCGCGGAGGCCUCACCGCCCCCUACUAUUCCCACCGCUGGCCAGGCCCUGCGGCGACGGCAGCCUCACACCGCAGCCAAACCAGUGAACCCGCGUACUCCUCUCCGCGCGGGCUUCCACUGCCGCGUCUUCCUCGGCUCCGCGUCGUCCCCUUCCUAGGCCUCGCCGUCGUCCACCGCCCUGGUGCUCUCGGCGCGGCGUGGUCAACGUGGUCAAGGAACGGCUUCCAUCGGACAUGGACUGUACGUGGAGAGGCUGACAGCUGGGUCCACGGCCGCAGCAAGAAGUGCCUCCUUAUUACUCGCAAAAUAAUUAUUCCUCCACCUGACAGCGGGGACCACGGACGGGCCACCGUAUUCGUGAAAAAAAAAUUCCCCCUGACUGCUGGGACCCACCAGCUAUAUCUUCGCACGCAAGGAAGUGCCUGACAGUCGGGACCCACCUGGUCGAAGCGUACGUACCAUUGUCAUUCUGGUCGCGAACGUGUACGUACAUACUGGUCGAUGUAGAGGCGCGCACAUGUCGUAGCAGAGGCACGCACGUAGCAUGUACACGUACGUACAGCGGUAAGUGUGCAAGAAAGAAAAUACGGCCACGUACGUACAUACGGGCAGGAUCUUGAACGCCUACUCGCGCAUACGUACGGCCAGGGCUCGUGUACAUGGCUGGGUCGGAACGGAGAAACUGCGUCGUCGUGUUCAUGGGGAGCCAACCGGCUGUGUCGGAAUGGAAUGCGUCGUCGUGUUCAUCGGGAGGGCUUGGACGGAACAGCCGAUGGAAACGAGGCUUGGCGUACCACAGAACGGAGGAAACGGCCUUGUGUUCGACCGGCCAUGUUCGAAACAGGAUCCUGUUCAUCGGGAGGGGUCUGGCGUACCGCAAAACGGAGGAAACGGACCUCCUACGGUCGAAACGGGGGUCCUGUUGAUCGGGAGGGAUGUGGCGUACUGCAAAACGGAGGAAACGGACUUGUGUUGGAGCGCUACGGUCGAAACGGGGGUCCUGUUCAUCGGGAGGGGUGUGGCGUACCGCAAAACGGGACUCCACGGGAUACUGUUCAUCUCCACCGUCGACCCCCUCCAGCCUCCACGGGCUACUAUUCAUCCAUCAUCGACCUCCUCCAGCCUCCACCUGCGACUGUUCAUCCACGGGCUCCUGUUCAUCCAGCCUCCACCACGCGCGCUACUCCACCGGCUACUAUUCAACCAGCCCUCUCCACGGGCUCCUGUUCAACCACCCCUCCACGGGCUACUGUUCAUCUAGCCCUCCACCGUCUACUGUUCAUCCUGCCCUCCCACGGGGUGGUCCUGUUCAUCCUGCCGUCCACGAGGUCCUGUUCAUCCAGCCCCAACCGGCUCGAUCGAUCGGGGUCUUGUUCAUCCAGAGGCAACGUCACGGGGUCCUGUUCAUCCAUCCCCACCGGGAACUGUUCACCCAAACCCCCCCAGCAACGCUCACUGUUCAUCCAGAGGCAGCGUCGAUCGGCUUCAAUUAGCAGCAUGGACGGCCCAAAGAAUGUCAUGCAGCUGCAUCUCCGGCCCGCCCAGAACGAAAAGCCCAUUUUCUAUCAUGAUUUUUUGUCAUAGAAGUAGGACCCCACCACAUCUACGAUGAUACCGGGUUUUGUCACAAUUAUCGUCAUAGAAGUGUCAUAAGUAUGACAGAAAAAAAAUGUUCGGCCGAAAAUGUCACGGAUGUGUCUUUUUUUUGUAGUGCCACAUGUAUAAACAAAUCAAUCAAACCAACUACACCAGCCUCUCCCUCUUCCAAACAAGUGUUUUUUAAUUGCCUCAGUCCUCUCCCUCUCCCACGCAAGUAUUUUUCAUUGCGUGAGUUAAUUUGGCAUCGGAGCACAGUAGGUGAUCCAAAUUGGGGCACCGGAUGCACAAUGGAGGGCAUUGAUGCCCUAUGCAUCAAAAGUGAAUUUGGCACGUGUUUUGGCCUACAUAAUGGAGGGUCAUUAUAGCCCACUUUUGUACUACCUCGUAUUUAGUGUAAAAUUUUGACCAUAGAUUUACCUAAGAAAAUAUGAAUGCAUGUCACCAAAAAUUAUACCAUUUGAAAUUAUGUUCAAAUAUGAAUCCAAUGAUAUAAUUUUUAGUGACAUGCAUUAACAUUUUGUCAGUUAAAUCUAUGGUCAAAAUUUGAAACUACAAAAUACGAAGAGUAAACCAGGACGAAGGUAGUACUUGCUCUUAGGCUAACCAUAGAGUUACUACUAGUCUAAGUUACUUUCCACUAUGACUAGCCUAGGCUCCUUAGUACAACAAAAAACAUUGUUGGUGAUCACGUGAGAAAAAAAUACUAAAAACGUUUCUUUCGGUGCAGUGCGUAGAUGCAGUUUUGAACACUACACUUGUCAUCGUAAUUUGGAAAAAAUACGAAAAAAUUGAGCUCCGUUGUGAUUACCAUUUACUAAUAGGAAAGAAGUUUCACCUCGAUGAGUAGCUUCUCUGUGCACGGAAAGCAUCUAAGGAAUCCAACAACUUGAUCCAGAUUGGGGCCGAUAGAUUUUAUUGCCAAGAUCUUCACUUUGCGCACAGACCGGGUCGAGCUUAUGGGAAUCAUUUUUUGGAUGACAGUCGUAAAUACAUCAAGAAGAAAUUUAAAAAUGUGAAUUUCAAGAAGACGAAGAAGAAGAUGAGUGUUGUACCUAAACGAUUAUGGAUCCAAUAAUGAGUUCGAAGAAUUUGGCAGACGAGUAGACCAACGCUGUCAAUUUCGGCGCGUCAAUGACCCUGAUUUUUUGUUGGACCUUCUAGAUCAGAUACAAGCAAUCUCUCAAGGAAAGGCGCAUUCUCAAUGACCAUAACAUGGAACAUCUCAAGUGAUCUCUUCCCAAGUAAUGUCUUGUUGCGGGGCCAACAAGACACAUAAAUGUUGGGGAAUGUAGUAAUUUCAAAAAAAAUCCUACGCACACGCAAGAUCAUGGUGAUGCAUAGCAACGAGAGGGGAGAGUGUUGUCCACGUACCCUCGUAGACCGAUAGCGGAAGCGUUAUCACAACGCGGUUGAUGUAGUCGUACGUCUUCACGAUCCGACCGAUCAAGUACCGAACGCACGGCACCUCCGAGUUCAGCACACGUUCAGCUCAAUGACGUCCCUCGAACUCCGAUCCAGCCGAGUGUUGAGGGAGAGUUUCGUCAGCACGACGGCGUGGUGACGAUGAUGAUGUUCUACCGACGCAGGGCUUCGCCUAAGCAUCGCUACGAUAUUAUCGAGGUGUAAUAUGGUGGAGGGGGGCACCGCACACGGCUAAAAGAUCGUUGAUCAAUUGUGUGUCGAGAGGUGCCCCCUUGCCCCCGUAUAUAAAGGAGCAAGGGGGAGGCCACCGGCCAAGGGAGGAGAGGCGUGCCAGGAGGAGUCCUACUCCUACCAGGAGUAGGACUCCCCCCCGUUCCAUGUUGGACUAGGAGAGGAAGGGGGAAAAGGUGGAGGGGAGGAAGGAAGGGGGGCGCCGCCCCCCUCUCCUUGUCCUAUUCGGACUGGGGGGAGGGGCGCGCGGCCCUGCCCUGGCCUCCUCUCCUCUCUUCCACCUAGGCCCAAUAAGGCCCAUUAAGUUACCGGGGGGUUCCGGUAACCUCCCGGUACUCCGGAAAAAUCCCGAUUUCACCCGGAACACUUCCGAUGUCCAAACAUAGGCUUCCAAUAUAUCAAUCUUUAUGUCUCGACCAUUUCGAGACUCCUUGUCAUAUCCGUGAUCACAUCCGGGACUCCGAACAACCUUCGGUACAUCAAAACAUAUAAACUCAUAAUAUAACUGUCAUCGUAACGUUAAGCGUGCGGACCCUACGGGUUCGAGAACUAUGUAGACAUGACCGAGACACCUCUCCGGUCAAUACCAAUAGCGGAACCUGGAUGCUCAUAUUGGUUCCCACAUAUUCUAUGAAGAUCUUUAUCGGUCAGACCGCAUAACAACAUACGUUGUUCCCUUUGUCAUCGGUAUGUUACUUGCCCGAGAUUCGAUCGUCAGUAUCUCGAUACCUAGUUCAAUCUCGUUACCGGCAAGUCUCUUUACUCGUUCCGUAAUACAUCAUCCCGCAACUAACUCAUUAGUCACAAUGCUUGCAAGGCUUAUAGUGAUGUGUAUUACUGAGUGGGCCCAGAGAUACCUCUCCGACAAUCGGAGUGACAAAUCCUAAUCUCGAAAUACACCAACCCAACAAGUACCUUUGGAGACACCUGUAGAGCACCUUUAUAAUCACCCAGUUACGUUGUGACGUUUGGUAGCACACAAAGUGUUCCUCCAGUAAACGGGAGUUGCAUAAUCUCAUAGUCAUAGGAACAUGUAUAAGUCAUGAAGAAAGCAAUAGCAACAUACUAAACGAUCCAGUGCUAAGCUAACGGAAUGGGUCAAGUCAAUCACAUCAUUCUCCUAAUGAUGUGAUCCCGUUAAUCAAAUGACAACUCAUGUCUAUGGCUAGGAAACAUAACCAUCUUUGAUCAACGAGCUAGUCAAGUAGAGGCAUACUAGUGACACUCUGUUUGUCUAUGUAUUCACACAUGUAUUAUGUUUCCGGUUAAUGCAAUUCUAGCAUGAAUAAUAAACAUUUAUCAUGAUAUAAGGAAAUAAAUAAUAACUUUAUUAUUGCCUCGAGGGCAUAUUUCCUUCAGUCUCCCACUUGCACUAGAGUCAAUAAUCUAGAUUACACAGUAAUGAUUCUUACACCCAUGGAGUCUUGGUGUUGAUCAUGUUUUGCUCGUGGAAGAGGCUUAGUCAACGGGUCUGCAACAUUCGGAUCCGAAUGUAUCUUGCAAAUUUCUAUGUCUCCCACCUGGACUAAAUCCCGGAUGGAAUUGAAGCGUCUUUUGAUGUGCUUGGUUCUCUUGUGAAAUCUGGAUUCCUUUGCUAAGGCAAUUGCACCAGUAUUGUCACAAAAGAUUUUCAUUGGUCCCGAUGCACUAGGUAUGACACCUAGAUCGGAUAUGAACUCCUUCAUCCAGACUCCUUCAUUUGCUGCUUCCGAAGCAGCUAUGUACUCCGCUUCACACGUAGAUCCCGCCACGACACUUUGCUUAGAACUGCACCAACUGACAGCUCCACCGUUCAAUGUAAAUAUGUAUCCGGUUUGCGAUUUAGAAUCGUCCGGAUCAGUGUCAAAGCUUGCAUCAACGUAACCAUUUACGACGAGCUCUUUGUCACCUCCAUAAACGAGAAACAUAUCCUUAGUCCUUUUAAGGUAUUUCAGGAUGUUCUUGACCGCUGUCCAGUGAUCCACUCCUGGAUUACUUUGGUACCUCCCUGCUAAACUUAUAGCAAGGCACACAUCAGGUCUGGUACACAGCAUUGCAUACAUGAUAGAGCCUAUGGCUGAAGCAUAGGGAACAUCUUUCAUCUUCUCUCUAUCUUCUGCAGUGGUCGGGCAUUGAGUCUUACUCAAUCUCACACCUUGCAGUACAGGCAAGAACCCUUUCUUUGCUUGAUCCAUUUUGAACUUCUUCAAAACUUUGUCAAGGUAUGUGCUUUGUGAAAGUCCAAUUAAGCGUCUUGAUCUAUCUCUAUAGAUCUUGAUGCACAAUAUAUAUGCAGCUUCACCGAGGUCUUUCAUUGAAAAACUCUUAUUCAAGUAUCCCUUUAUGCUAUCCAGAAAUUCUAUAUCAUUUCCAAUUAACAAUAUGUCAUCCACAUAUAAUAUCAGAAAUGCUACUGAGCUCCCACUCACUUUCUUGUAAAUACAGGCUUCUCCAAAAGUCUGUAUAAAACCAAAUGCUUUGAUCACACUAUCAAAGCGUUUAUUCCAACUCCGAGAGGCUUGCACCAGUCCAUAAAUGGAUCGCUGGAGCUUGCACACUUUGUUAGCUCCCUUUGGAUCGACAAAACCUUCCGGUUGCAUCAUAUACAACUCUUCUUCCAGAAAUCCAUUCAGGAAUGCAGUUUUGACAUCCAUUUGCCAAAUUUCAUAAUUAUAAAAUGCGGCAAUUGCUAACAUGAUUCGGACAGACUUAAGCAUCGCUACAGGUGAGAAGGUCUCAUCGUAGUCAAUCCCUUGAACUUGUCAAAAACCUUUCGCAACAAGUCGAGCUUUAUAGACAGUAACAUUACCGUCAGCGUCAGUCUUCUUCUUGAAGAUCCAUUUAUUUUCAAUGGCUUGCCGAUCAUCGGGCAAGUCAACCAAAGUCCAUAUUUUGUUCUCAUACAUGGAUCCCAUCUCGGAUUUCAUGGCCUCAAGCCAUUUUGCGGAAUCUGGACUCACCAUCGCUUCUUCAUAGUUCGUAGGUUCGUCAUGGUCUAGUAACAUAACCUCCAGAACAGGAUUACCAUACCACUCUGGUGCGGAUCUUGAUCUGGUUGACCUACGAGGUUCAGUAAUAACUUGAUCUGAAGUUUCAUGAUCAUUAGCAUUAACUUCCCCACUAAUUGGCGUAGGUGUCACAAAAACUGGUUUCUGUGAUGAUCUACUUUCCAAUAAGGGAGCAGGUACAGUUACCUCAUCAAGUUCUACUUUCCUCCCACUCACUUCUUUCGAGAGAAACUCCUUCUCUAGAAAGGAUCCAUUCUUAGCAACGAAUGUCUUGCCUUCGGAUCUGUGAUAGAAGGUGUACCCAACAGUCUCCUUUGGGUAUCCUAUGAAGACACAUUUCUCCGAUUUAGGUUCGAGCUUAUCAGGUUGAAGUUUCUUCACAUAAGCAUCGCAACCCCAAACUUUAAGAAACGACAACUUUGGUUUCUUGCCAAACCAUAGUUCAUAAGGCGUCGUCUCAACGGAUUUCGAUGGUGUCCUAUUUAGAGUGAAUGCAGCCGUCUCUAAAGCAUAACCCCAAAACGAUAGCGGUAAAUCAGUAAGAGGCAUCAUAGAUCGCACCAUAUCUAGUAAAGUACGAUUACGACGUUCGGACACACCAUUACGUUGUGGUGUUCCGGGUGGCGUGAGUUGCGAAACUAUUCCGCAUUGUUUCAAAUGUAGGCCAAACUCGUAACUCAAAUAUUCUCCUCCACGAUCUGAUCAUAGAAACUUUAUUUUCUUGUUACGAUGAUUUUCAACUUCGCUCUGAAAUUCUUUGAACUUUUCAAAUGUUUCAGACUUAUGUUUCAUUAAGUAGAUAUACCCAUAUCUGCUCAAAUCAUCUGUGAAGGUGAGAAAAUAAUGAUAUCCGCCACGAGCCUCAAUAUUCAUCGGACCACAUACAUCUGUAUGUAUGAUUUCCAACAAAUUUGUUGCUCUCUCCAUAGUACCGGAAAACGGUGUUUUAGUCAUCUUGCCCAUGAGACACGGUUCGCAAGUACCAAGUGAUUCAUAAUCAAGUGAUUCCAAAAGUCCAUCAUUAUGGAGUUUCUUCAUGCGCUUUACACCGAUAUGACCUAAACGGCAGUGCCACAAAUAAGUUGCACUAUCAUUAUCAACUCUGCAUCUUUUGGCUUCAAUAUUAUGAAUAUGUGUAUCACUACUAUCGAGAUUCAACAAAAAUAGACCACUCUUCAAGGGUGCAUGACCAUAAAAGAUAUUACUCAUAUAAAUAGAACAACCAUUAUUCUCUGACUUAAAUGAAUAACCGUCUCGCAUUAAACAAGAUCCAGAUGUUCAUGCUUAACGCUGGCACCAAAUAACAAUUAUUUAGGUCUAAAACUAAUCCCGAAGGUAGAUGUAGAGGUAGCGUGCCGACCGCGAUCACAUCGACUUUGGAACCAUUUCCCACGCGCAUCGUCACCUCGCCCUUAGCCAAUCUUCGCUUAAUCCGUAGCCCCUGUUUCGAGUUGCAAAUAUUAGCAACAGAACCAGUAUCAAAUACCCAGGUGCUACUGCGAGCAUUAGUAAGGUACACAUCAAUAACAUGUAUAUCACAUAUACCUUUGUUAACCUUGCCAUCCUUCUUAUCCGCCAAAUACUUGGGGCAGUUCCGCUUCCAGUGACCAGUCUGCUUGCAGUAGAAGCACUCAGUUUCAGGCUUAGGUCCAGACUUGGGUUUCUUCUCCUGAACAGCAACUUGCUUGUUGUUCUUCUUGAAGUUCCCCUUCUUCUUCCCUUUGCCCUUUUUCUUGAAACUAGUGGUCUUAUUGACCAUCAACACUUGAUGCUCCUUUUUGAUUUCUACCUCCGCUGCCUUUAGCAUUGCGAAGAGCUCGGGAAUUUUCUUAUUCAUCCCUUGGAUGUUAUAGUUCAUCACGAAGCUCUUGUAGCUUGGUGGCAGUGAUUGAAGAAUUCUGUCAAUGACGCUAUCAUCCGGAAGAUUAACUCCCAGUUGAAUCAAGUGAUUAUUAUACCCAGACAUUUUGAGUAUAUGCUCACUGACAGAACUAUUCUCUUCCAUCUUGCAGCUGUAGAACUUAUUGUAGACUUCAUAUCUCUCAAUCCGGGCAUUUGCUUGAAAUAUUAACUUCAACUCCUGGAACAUCUCAUAUGCUCCAUGACGUUCAAAACGUCGUUGAAGACCCGGUUCUAAGCCGUAAAGCAUGGCACACUGAACUAUCGAGUAGUCAUCAGCUUUUCUCUACCAGACGUUCAUAACUUCUGGUGUUGCUCUUGCAGGAGGCCUGGCACCCAGCGGUGCUUCCAGGACGUAAUUCUUCUGUGCAGCAAUGAGGAUAAUCCUCAAGUUACGGACCUAGUCUGUGUAAUUGCUACCAUCAUCUUUCAACUUUGCUUUCUCAAGGAACGCAUUAAAAUUCAACGGAACAACAGCACGGCCCAUCUAUCUACAAUUAACAUAGACAAGCAAGAUACUAUCAGGUACUAAGUUCAUGAUAAAUUUAAGUUCUAUUAAUCAUAUUACUUAAGAAUUCCCACUUAGAUAGACAUCCCUCUAAUCCUCUAAGUGAUCACGUGAUCCAUAUCAACUAAACCAUGUCCGAUCAUCACGUGAGAUGGAGUAGUUUCAAUGGUGAACAUCACUAUGUUGAUCAUAUCUACUAUAUGAUUCACGCUCGACCUUUCGGUCUCCGUGUUCCGAGGCCAUAUCUGCAUAUGCUAGGCUCGUCAAGUUUAACCUGAGUAUUCUGCGUGUGCAACUGUUUUGCACCCGUUGUAUUUGAACGUAGAGCCUAUCACACCCGAUCAUCACGUGGUGUCUUAGCACGAACAACUUUCGCAACGGUGCAUACUCAGGGAGAACACUUUUAUCUUGAAAUUUUAGUGAGAGAUCAUCUUAUAAUGCUACCGUCAAUCAAAGCAAGAUAAGAUGCAUAAAAGAUAAACAUCACAUGCAAUCAAUAUAAGUGAUAUGAUAUGGCCAUCAUCAUCUUGUGCUUGUGAUCUCCAUCUCCGAAGCACCGUCAUGAUCACCAUCGUCACCGGCGCGACACCUUGAUCUCCAUCGUAGCAUCGUUGUCGUCUCGCCAACUAUUGCUUUUACGACUAUCGCUACCGCUUAGUGAUAAAGUAAAACAAUUACAUGGCGAUUGCAUUUCAUACAAUAAAGCGACAACCAUAUGGCUCCUGCCAGUUGCCGAUAACUCGGUUACAAAACAUGAUCAUCUCAUACAAUAAAAUAUAGCAUCAUGUCUUGACCAUAUCACAUCACAACAUGCCCUGCAAAAACAAGUUAGACAUCCUCUACUUUGUUGUUGCAAGUUUUACGUGGCUGCUACGGGCUUAGCAAGAACCGUUCUUACCUACGCAUCAAAACCACAACGAUAGUUUGUCAAGUUGGUGCAGUUUUAACCUUCGCAAGGACCGGGCGUAGCCACACUCGGUUCAACUAAAGUGAGAGAGACAGACACCCGCCAGUCACCUUUAAGCAUGGAGUGCUCGCAACGGUGAAACCAGUCUCGCGUAAGCGUACGCGUAAUGUCGGUCCGGGCAGCUUCAUCUCACAAUACCGCCGAACCAAAGUAUGACAUGCUGGUAAGCAGUAUGACUUAUAUCGCCCACAACUCACUUGUGUUCUACUCGUGCAUAACAUCAACGCAUAAAACCAGGCUCGGAUGCCACUGUUGGGGAACGUAGUAAUUUCAAAAAAAUUCCAACGCACACGCAAGAUCAUGGUGAUGCAUAGCAACGAGAGGGGAGAGUGUUGUCCACGUAAUCUCGUAGACCGAUAGCGGAAGCGUUAUCACAACGCGGUUGAUGUAGUCGUACGUCUUCAUGAUCCGACCGAUCAAGUACCGAACGCACGGCACCUCCGAGUUCAGCACACGUUCAGCUCGAUGACGUCCCUCGAACUCCGAUCCAGCUGAGUGUUGAGGGAGAGUUUCGUCAGCACGACGGCGUGGUGACGAUGAUGAUGUUCUACCGACGCAGGGCUUCGCCUAAGCACCGCUACGAUAUUAUCGAGGUGUAAUAUGGUGGAGGGGGCACCGCACACGGCUAAAAGAUCAUUGAUCAAUUGUGUGUCGAGAGGUGCCCCCUUGCCCCCGUAUAUAAAGGAGCAAGGGGGAGGCCGCCGGCCAAGGGAGGAGAGGCGCGCCAGGAGGAGUCCUACUCCUACCGGGAGUAGGAUUCCCCCCUUUCCAUGUUGGACUAGGAGAGGAAGGGGGAAAGGUGGAGGGGAGGAAGGAAGGGGGGGCGCCACCCCCCUCUCCUUGUCCUAUUCGGACUGGGGGGGAGGUGCAUGCGGCCCUGCCCUGGCCUCCUCUCCUCUCUUCCACCUAGGCCCAAUAAGGCCCAUUAAGUUACCGGGGGGCUCCGGUAACCUCCCGGUACUCCGGAAAAAUCCCGAUUUCACCCGGAACACUUCCGAUGUCCAAACAUAGGCUUCCAAUAUAUCAAUCUUUAUGUCUCGACCAUUUCGAGACUCCUCGUCAUGUCUGUGAUCAUAUACGGGACUCCGAACAACCUUCGGUACAUCAAAACAUAUAAACUCAUAAUAUAACUGUCAUCGUAACGUUAAGCGUGCGGACCCUACGGGUUCGAGAACUAUGUAGACAUGACCGAGACACCUCUCCGGUCAAUAACCAAUAGCGGAACCUGGAUGCUCAUAUUGGUUCCCACAUAUUCUACGAAGAUCUUUAUCGGUCAAACCGCAUAACAACAUACGUUGUUCCCUUUGUCAUCGGUAUGUUACUUGCCCGAGAUUCGAUCGUCGGUAUCUCGAUACCUAGUUCAAUCUCGUUACCGGCAAGUCUCUUUACUCGUUCCGUAAUACAUCAUCCCGCAACUAACUCAUUAGUCACAAUGCUUGCAAAGCUUAUAGUGAUGUGUAUUACUGAGUGGGCCCAGAGAUACCUCUCCGACAAUCGGAGUGACAAAACCUAAUCUCGAAAUAUGCCAACCCAACAAGUACCUUUGGAGACACCUGUAGAGCACCUUUAUAAUCACCCAGUUACGUUGUGACGUUUGGUAGCACACAAAGUGUUCCUCCGGUAAACGGGAGUUGCAUAAUCUCAUAGUCAUAGGAACAUGUAUAAGUCAUGAAGAAAGCAAUAGCAACAUACUAAACGAUCGAGUGCUAAGCUAACGGAAUGGGUCAAGUCAAUCACAUCAUUCUCCUAAUGAUGUGAUCCCGUUAAUCAAAUGACAACUCAUGUCUAUGGCUAGGAAACAUAACCAUCUUUGAUCAACGAGCUAGUCAAGUAGAGGCAUACUAGUGACACUCUGUUUGUCUAUGUAUUCACACAUGUAUUAUGUUUCCAGUUAAUACAAUUCUAGCAUGAAUAAUAAACAUUUAUCAUGAUAUAAGGAAAUAAAUAAUAACUUUAUUAUUACCUCGAGGGCAUAUUUCCUUCAAUAAAUCCAUCGGAGAUUCGUCGAGGCGAUGUGGAGGCUAAUGAACGCAUGGAUCUGCCGAAGACGAAGGUACUCGAGCGCAGUACAGCUGCGGAGUUGGUGCUCCAUAGCCUUCUUCGAGAUGGAAAUGCCGAAGAGGUCGAGCUGCUUGAGUUGAGGGAGAAGAAGGGCAUGUGCGACAUUAAUCUGGGGAAAAUAGCAGGAGCUGAACCUGGCGCGGCGCAGCAUUGGCGCGAGGCGGAGCGAGGACGGCGGCAGAGAGCGACAUCGUCCAGCUUCAAACCUGAGCUCCUCGAGCUGAUCUAGGGCGGGGGAUAAGAAUCACUCAUCGAACUUGGCUUGGACCUUGCAGUUGGUACUAAACAUGUGGAUGUCAAGGUGACUGGCUGGCCCAGGGUGUGAUGCAAGGAUCUUGGAUACUGCAGCCAUGUGUUUGCUUUCCCCGCCGCAGAGGCAGCUGUCGACGGUGAGGUUGAGGGGGACGCGGCGCCAGAGGGGGCGCCACCGUCGGGAGAGCAGGGUGUUCCGCAUGGAAGAUUUGGUGGGGAGGAUGGCGAUGAUGACGAGCAACAUGUCAUCGGGGAGGCUGCUGAUGAAGUCCAGGCUCGCCGGAUGUGGUUUUGGCUCGAGCUACCUCCGCUUGUUGGCUGCCUUGCUGUCCAUCUCAGUCGACGGUGACUCCGGUGUACACGUGUGCUGGUGUGUAUUGUGUGCUGGGUGUGCGCGAGUGCGUCCUUGUGUGCAUGCCGCCGCGCACUGGUGUAGUGUGCGCGAGAGCAUCCUUCACACGGAAGAACUGUGCCCUCAAUUUACUAGUGUGCAGGGUGCUACCGCGAGUGGUUUAAACUUUUUUUACUUCACCUUGUCAGAUGGGCCUCUAGUUUAUAUAUUUUCACCCACUACCACAUGGGCUAGCACACCAAGAUAGAGAACACGAGCUGACAAGGCAGCAUGUGUACUGGUUGACCCAUCAACUAAACAAUAUAUGGAGCUAUACGCUCACACAGUGACCGUAUAAUCCCUCGUAAAGAGAGAUCGAGUGAGAGGGAAGGCCCGUGAGAGAUACUUAGUAGACAGAGAGAAAGAGAUACUCCCUCCAUUCGAUAAUGUAGUGCCUAUGAUUUUUUGAAAAGUCAAACUUUUGAAACUUUGACCAAGUUUAUAAACAAAUUACUUAUAUCUACAAUACCAAAGAUAUAUGAUGUGAAUUACUACACCUUGUGAUGAAUCUAUUGAUCGUUCCGGAUGUAAAUAUUUUUCUCCACAUAUACCUGGUCAAACUUUUGUGAGGUUUUGCCUUUUCAAAACAUCCAUAAGUUAUGGACCAGAGAGAGUACCUAACUAGAGAGAGAGAGAAAGAGAAAGAGAAAGAGUGUGUGUGUGUGUGUGUGAAAGAGACAUGGACAACACACGAUAAAGUAGAGAGAAAAAUGUGUGAGUCUUAUGCAAUCAUAUCAUGCAUGCAUCUUGAAGGGUGGAAGCAAGGUGAGGAGAUAGUGUGUGGUUGUUUCCAACAGAGAGAAAGUCCGCCAAACAAGGGAGAGAGGUCGAGAUAAACUUAUGGAGAAAUUGCACGCAUGGGGAGGGAGUGUGGCACUGAUACGUCCAUUUUGCAUCAUGCUUUUAUAUCGAUAUUUGUUGCAUUAUGGGCUGUUAUUACACAUUAUGUCACAAUACUUAUGCCUUUUCUCUCUUAUUUUACAAGGUUUACAUGAAGAGGGAGAAUGUCGGCAGCUGGAAUUCUGGGCUGGAAAAGGAGCAAAUAUUAGAGACCUAUUCUGCACAACUCCAAAAGUCCUAAAACUCCACGAAAGUCAGUUUUGAAAUAUAUUAAAAAUAUUGGGCGAAGAAAGCACCAGAGGGGGGCCACACCCUGUCCACGAGGGUGUGGGGCGCGCCCCUGCCUCGUGGGCCCCCUGGCAGGCCUCCGGUUCCCAUCUUUUGCUAUAUGAAGUCUUUCUCCCUGGAAAAAAUUAGAAGGAAGAUUUCGGGACGAAGCGCCGCCGUCUCGAGGCGGAACCUAGCGAAACCAAUCUAGGGCUCCGGCGGAGCUGUUCUGCUGGGGAAACAUCCCUCCGGGAGGGGGAAAUCAUCACCAUCGUCAUCACCAUCGAUCCUCUCAUUGGUAGGGGGUCAAUCUCCAUCAACAUCUUCACCAGCACCAUCUCAUCUCAAACCCUAGUUCAUCUGUUGUAUCCAAUCUUUGUCUCAAAACCUCAGAUUGGUACUUGUGGGUUACUAGUAGUGUUGAUUACUCCUUGUAGUUGAUGCUAGUUGGUUUAUUUGGUGGAAGAUCAUAUGUUCAGAUCCUUUAUGCAUAUUAAUACCCCUCUGAUUAUGGACAUGAAUAUGAUUUGUGAGUAGUUACGUUUGUUCCUGAGGACAUGGGAGAAGUCUUGCUAUAAGUAGUCAUGUGAAUUUGGUAUUCGUUCGAUAUUUUGAUGAGAUGUAUGUUGUCUUUCCUCUAGUGGUAUUAUGUGAACGUCGACUACAUGACACUUCACCAUUAUUUGGGCCUAGGGGAAGGCAUUGGGAAGUAAUAAUUAGAUGAUGGGUUGCUAGAGUGACAGAAGCUUAAACCCUAAUUUAUGUGUUGCUUCAUAAGGGGUUGAUUUGGAUCCACAUGUUUCAUGCUAUGGUUAGGUUUACCUUAAUACUUCUUUUGUAGCUGUGGAUGCUUGCAAGAGGGGUUAAUCAUAAGUGGGAUGCUUGUCCAAGGAAGGGCAGUAUCCAAGCACCGGUCCACCCACAUAUCAAAUUAUCAAAGUAACGAACGCGAAUCAUAUGAGCAAGAUGAAAACUAGCUUGACGAUAAUUCCCAUGUGUCCUCGGGAGCGCUUUCCUUUAUAUAAGAGUUUGUCCAGGCUUGUCAUUUGCUACAAAAAGGAUUGGGCCACCUUGCUGCACCUUGUUUACUUCUGUUACUUGUUACCCGUUACAAAUUACCUUAUCACAAAACUAUCCGUUAGCGAUAAUUUCAGUGCUUGCAGAGAAUACCUUACUGAAAACCGCUUGUCAUUUCCUUCUGCUCCUCGUUGGGUUUGACACUCUUACUUAUCGAAAGGACUACGAUAGAUCCCAUAUACUUGUGGGUCAUCAGGCACCCCGGCUCAGAGAGACCGGAACGCCCCGUAUUCCAGCCCAUAGAUCGAUGUAUGUCUCUGGAAUACGACACUGCUUGGCAUAGAACAAAUCACCUCUUUAUUACAAUCGAUAGGGGUACAAGGGGAUUACAUCGACACGACGACACUACACCUACCAAGGUUUCUCUAUGCAAGCAGCAGAACAACUCAUAGCAGUGGGAUAGAUUCUAGCAGCGGAACAACGAUGAUGACGAUGGACUCCACUCCGUAGGGACUCUGGCUGGAACAUUUAUCCUAGCUCGCAAACACAAGAUUAUCGGCAAAACAAGCAAGCAGACAAGGCAUGACCUGCAAACUGGCAUGACAUGCUAGGUCAGUACAUUGAAUGUACUUGCAAGCUCACAGCAACCAAAGCAAUCAAGACAAACAACAGCAUGGCAAUUACAGGUUACUUAGCAAGGAUGAACAUGAUACAGCUAGAGGAACAAGGCAUGGACAUGGUGAACAAGAUAGCACUAGAACAAGAACAGAUGAGCAUGGCAUUAGAACAUGAUGAUACUAGCAUGCAACAUGUUAACAAUAUCAUGCACCAACUUACUCUGUUCGGGGUUACCUCGUAACCAUCACAUGAACCACUUACCAUCAUGGUCAUCACACGAUCACCUCAGGAUCAAAUCGAGCUUGGUAUUAACAAUACCGUAGUAAUCAUUGCAUGACCACAAGGAGCUUGAUCUUUACCCUUGAUUAUCGCAUAAUACCAUAAACCUCAACCAUCUUCGGUAUCCUCGAUACCACUGUGAUCCUCUCGCGAUCACAUAAGAAUCAACCACUUCUUUCAUCAUCAAACCGGGGUUCUUAUUAAACAGGUUAUUAUUACUGUUGACCCAUAGUGUGACCUACUACGAACUGGGCCCAUAUCCGCGGGCGCGACUAUUGAUAGAUUAUACCCACUCUCAGAGGUUAGCACACUGUACCCACAACACAGAACCCAUGGCCUCGUGCUCCCAUUCGGGUGGACCAACGGCGUUCCGACAAAACCGAUCUGUUGCCAUGACACUCUCCCGGCCACUCCGACAAACUCCCCUUUGGGCUAAGUCAUGGUGGCCCCGAUGUCACCUCGUGACAUCCAACGGCCACCGUCGUGGCAAAACUAAACAGUCCCAAACGGGGACAACCCGGGUACAACAACAAUGGGCACACAAGGCUUAUGUCCGCCUACCUGAUCAGGGUAGCGCGCGCCCAUAACCUUCCCUAGUUGGAGGCACCGGCGAGAGGCACGACAAUAGACUGCAUUAGGGCCUUCUCAUAAAGGCAAAUGCGACUGCACUGGUCAGUUCAAUUUCGAUGGCACUAUGACUCAGCUAACAGGUGUUCAAGUUUAAUAAAUGUCCGGUUAAACUUGAAUGCGAAAGAUGCUGAGUCAUAAUAUGACAAAAUAAUAAUGCACAUGAGCAUGAUAUUAACAUAAGCAUGGAGGAGCAACAUAACCAUAUGAAUCACUAGCAUCAAUACUAAUGCAACACUUAGACUACUAAAUGCAGAUGAACAUGGCAUCAUGAUCAUAUAUAACACAUGUACUUUCAUAACAAAUGUAAUAAUGCAUCGAAGAAGAUCACUAUCACCAGCAUGUACUACCAACCAACAUGACAUAAGAGAAUAAUACCAGCAAGUAGCACAUACUAACAAGGUGCAUAAGGGCAUAACAUGAAGAUGAACAUGGAUCCACAAGCACAACCGAAACAACAAUAGCAAUAGUUAAAGGAGCAAACAUUUAUUAAAUAUUCAAGUGGAAACCAUGGCUACUGCAAAUCCAUCAUGCAAGUGACUGUCGUGGCUUGCCUGGGGAUGAAGGAACCCUCGGGGAGAAGUGCGGAAGGAUCGCAGAAAGAUUCGCUAGAAAUAGUUCUCUCCCGGAGGGGGCUGUUUAUGGGCAAGGGAAAAAUGGUCAUUUUCACUGUAUGGAAACAUUGUGAAAAUGAUACCAACAGAACGGGCUCGACGAGAUGAAUAUGUGGGCUUUGGAAUCACCUCAAUCGGAGCUACGAUCGCGAAGAUACGAGGUGUGGAAGUAUAGGGGCCAAUCUGUGAAAAAUCUUCUACAAACAAGUCCCUGGUGGAGUAAAACAGAAACGCAUUUCUCAGAUUACGUUUUCAGAAAGUGAAAACGUAUUGUAAGCCGAAGGAGAAGAGGAAUGCGUUUUCUUCAAAGGAAAGCGUAUUUCAGGAAUACGCCUGCACUGAAAACGGUCAGCGGGGCCACUGGGUCAAAGGGUGUGUCACUUACAGGUGGGGCCGGCUGGUCCUUUCUUCCUCCUCGCGCGCCCGUCUUCUUUCUCCCGACGUCCAGAGCAGAGGAGCAGGGAGGGGGGGCGGCCUGGCUAGCUCCGGUUGUCUCCGGCCGAGAUCCAGCCACCGGCGAGUGCGGGAGAUGCUGUCGCACUUGACCAGGGGUCCACGCGCGUCGGGGGAGGACGGGACGAGGGCGGCGAUGGCGUACAUAGGAGGGGCACCGGCGAUGGGGCUCGCGGCUCCGGCCACCUCCAGGCGAGGGAAUGGCACCAGCGGGAUCAGCGAGGCGUGUCGCGUCCUUUCAGAGGGGAAACGGACGUCGGGGAGGAGCAGGGAUGAGGUGGUUCCGGGCAACAGAGGAACAAGGCGAGCGGUGGCCGUACGCGGGAUGAUGUCCAUGACUACUCCAGCGAGGGGUGAGGGGUGGAAGAGGAGCUCCGGAGAGUGGGGAAGAAGAUGUUGGUGGCUAGAGGUGGAGGAGGGGCUCGGCUGGCUCGAAUUUGAGCCGAGGCCGAGGCGGCAAUGGUGGACGCGGCGAACAGAGGCGAGGUGAGGCCGUUCCGGUGGACUAGAGAGGCGGGGGAGGGGUGAAGAGCUGCGAGGGGACUCGGGGGCGCUUACAUAGCCACGGGGAGGGUUCUAGCACACACGGGAGAGCUCGGGCUCGACGCCAAUGGAGGACAGGGGAGGCUAGCAUCACGGGCACGGCUGCCAGCGCUCGAUGACAGCGAAACAGGAGAGGGGCUGGCACAGGACAAUGCAGGAGCUCACGGGGAAGCUCUAGGACAAGGAUGGGCGUCGAGACGAGGAGGAAGAGGGCGGCUACAGGGCACGCGGGCGGCCACAACGCGUGAUUUGGCUCGUCCGCCCCGUGGUCACCGCGUGCAAACAGUGCUAGCCCAUGCUCUGAUCAUCCAUACCUUGUCUCGGAGGUGUACCAUAGUACCCCGAGUGCCAAGGAAGAAACAAGCAAGGGCAGGGGCAAAGAAAAGAGUAGCACCUAGCUCCAAAGCAGAGAAACAGGAAGGUUUUUAUGCUGAAAGGAGACAAACACAGGAGGGGAUACGGGAGAGCUUUGGCAUGGCUUGAUCACAUGCUAAAGCCACUGUGAUGGCAAAAUAUCACAAGAAAUGGAGGAGUCUAGAUGGGGGUUGCUAUGGAAAGGGUCCCACUGGUCAGAUUUACAAGAUUUGAGGUGGCACUCACAUACCAGCUUGGAUUGAUCUAAAAUUGGUAGGAGAUGAAUUAUUUGAUGAUAUUAAGCUUAUGUAAUAGUUUAACGCCAUUUGAAAAUACCAAAAUAGUACUUGCUUCACAGAGCUUCAAUCUGGACAGAAACUUAGGAAAAUUGCACAAGGCAAAUGGCUAGAUGGAAUGAUCCCACAUUUGGUGGAGAUAGGUAAUAUGGAUAUGCGAAUGCCUUGGUAAAUGUUCAGCCAUAAUGAAGCGAUAUAAAAUAUAGUUUCUUCACAAACUGAAAUUCUGACCAGAAACCAAGAUUUGAUGGUGAGCUCACAUGGAGAGGUGUCAUGAGCUCAAAUUUGGAGGAGAGUCAUUAUUUGAUCGUAGGAAGGAUGUGGAAAAGUUUCAACUCAUUCGAAUAUGCCUAGAUUGCACCUCCUUCACAAAGUUCCUUUCUGGAUAGAAACUUUGGAAAAUAGCUGCAUAAUAUUUACUAGGAAAAUUGAGUUGAAUCUUGUCAUGAGGCAAUGAUAUGGACAGAAAAGGUGUCCAAAAAGUUUGGGGUCAAUCAAGAAAAGAUAAAUAACACUUCCUUCAUAAAGUGCCAUUUAGGGCAGAAUAGGAAAAGAAUUAUUUGAGGAUUAUUUUUUAACAUGGCAAUGAAAAGUUUUGCCAUAUUUGAGGAAUAUAUGACCCAAAAAAAUUAUGAGAAUUAUUUGGGAAUUUUUAGAGUGACAGAAAGGUAGGUUGCUUCACAACCUAGGGCAAAUAGGGUUAUUCCUUUAAUAGAAAAGGAAUAUUCCCAAUAAAAAGAAUAUUCAGAUAUGGGCUAGGAUAAAAUGACAUAAGAUAGGGAUGGUUUUGGAGGAUGAUAAGCCACUAUGAAACCUAGGAAGGCAUGCUCUUCCCAAGUUUUAGGAUCACAGAGCCACGGAAAAGCAAAUCAAAGCAGAAACUCAAAGGAAAUCAAAAGAAAAAGAAAAGGCCAAAAUCCAGGGUGUUACAGGGAGAGAGUGUGUGUUUUUGAUAGAGAGAUCCCCUUGAGAUCGUGAUGGGACUACAUGGGUGGGACAUUGAGUGUGACAAGGUGUGUGCGCGUUAGAAGAUACCCCAAGAGGGAUCGUGAUUGACCUAGGGAUGGUAGGAGACAAUACGUGUGUUAGUGAUGGAUAGUGAGAGGUAGUCAUACCUAGGAGGGAGUGCAUCUGCCUACGAUGGAGUGAGAGAUUAUGGUACAUAGGGGGGUGCGUGUCAAAUAGAGAGAGAACAAGAGGGGGUGUUAGAUUGGUCUAUGUGGUGCGAGUGAGAUAUGUGUAUGUGUGACCAAGGGAGAUAUAAAGUUUGAGAGAGAUAGAGGUGCCCCGAUACGGCUGAGUGGUGCGUGAGAGAGUUGAGAGAGAGAGAGAGAGAGAGGGAGGGAGAGAUACUCCCUUCGUUCGAUAAUGUAGUGCACAUAAUUUUUUUAAAGUCAAACUUUGGAAACUUUGACCAAGUCUACAGAGAAGGUUAUUUAUAUCUACAAUACCAAAGAUACAUCAUAUGAAACUACAUCUUCUGGUGAAUCUAGUGACAUGUGUUUGUUGUUCUAGAUGGAAUGUUUUUCUCCACAUACCUGGUCAAACUUUGUGAGGUUUGACUUUUCGAAAAAUCUAUAUGCUAUGCACCGAAGAGAGUACCUAGCUAAGUUGAGAGAGAUCAAGUGUGUGUGUGGAAGAGAGAGGGAUAACACAUAAUAAAAUGGAGAGAAAGUGUGUGUAUCUUAUGCAAAAAUAUCACACAUGCAUCCCCGAGAUAGAAAAGUGAGGUGAGGAGAUACAUCGAGAUAGCUAGUGUGUGAUUGUUUGCAAUGGAGAGAGAGAGACCCCCAUAACACCUGUCCAGUAGAGGUUUGGCCAACAAGGGACAGCAGUCGAGAGGGGCGUAUGGAGACGAAGAUGGAGGCAUGGGGGAGAGAGGGUGUGUUUGUGACAGAGAGACCCCCUCAAGAUUGUGAUGGGACUAUAUGGGUGGGUGAGGGAGUUAUGGACUAAGGGGUCCUUGGGGUGCCAGCCCACUGAAUAUGGGCCGGACUAGUGAAGCUGUGGUGUGUCCUCCAAGUUAAGGAUAGACAUGAUCUUUUUAUCACUUAUUGUAAUCUAUCUCCGGUAACCCUAACCCUAUCGGUGUCUAUAUAAACCAAGGGUUGUAGUAUUUGGGGGGAGGAGAUAUUCAUUACCUCAUACCCUUAGGGUUUAGCUCAUGCUGAUCUCGAGGUAGACCUACUCUGUAAACCAUACUAUACAUCCAAUAUAAUCAAGCAGGACGUAUGGUAUUACCUCUUCGAGAGGGCCCGAACCUGGGUAAACAUUGUGUUCGUCGUCCCUUGUUCCCCAUCGAUCCUAGAUCCAUAGCUCGGGACACCCUACCCCGAGGUCUGACGGUUUUGACACCGACAUUGGUGCUUUCAUUGAGAGUUCUGCUGUUGGAUCGCAAGAAGAAUCGAUGGCUCAACCGGUCGUUGGAGACCACACCCGCGCCGAGGGCUUCCCCGCCCUGGUCAUGUCUUUGUCUUCGGCGGCAUAUUAGUGCGCGCCAAUCCCACUGGUCGCCUUGACCAGAUCGAAGGCUUCACCCCCAUAAAGGGACUCGCGGGUUCAGGGGCAUCAACCCCGGGACCAGCGGACUAACAAGAAUCAGGUAUCUCUCAGAGUCCGGCCUUGAAGCCCGACUCCGAUAGACCGCCCACAAGAUCUCCCGCCGAGUCACCGGAGUCUUCGGCACCCCCAUGUGCCUCGCCGGUAGACCACUUGGGAAGUCUAUUCUGUGCAAUGGGAAUCUCCGUUAUCAAGCCCACGGCCUACGAUCGGAUAGGGCUUAAGCCCGACGACCGAGAAGUCAACACCCCUCCGGUCACACACCUCGUCGCCGCCGUCAAAGAGGCCCAGGAGGGGCCACAACCUUACAAGCUAAAGACGGUGUACACUCGAGUCUCUAGCUCGAAGUCAGACACCAGCCCAGAUGUAUGUCCGGACUUGAUCCCCAAUUCAAGAUCCGGCCUCGAGCCGAUCCUGUCGCAUACCAGUCCGGAUGUGAGCCCGCAUGAUUAGAACUGGACAUGAAUCAAGCGCCCAUCAAGGAUAGUCCGGGUCCGCUGCAGGAGGGAAUCCUCGAAUUUUUCCCACCCACCCACCAUACUGAAUACUCCCCGGAUUCGGGAAGCCCGGACAUAUGGGACCUCAUGUACAUCAAACAGCUGCCAAACGAGGCAGUCCAUCAUUAUUGGGCUAGAUUUCUACUGGUGAAGAACAGGAUAGCGCCUUGCUGUGACAAAUAGAUAAUUAAAGCCUUCUAGUUCAACUGCAAGGAUUAGGGCCUCUUAAAUGCCCUCGCACGUCGCCGAAUUCAAAGAUUUACCGAACUAUCAGACAUGGUACGCAAGUAUUGUGCCAUGGAGAACACAUGGAGGGCGCAACAGAUGAACAUGGGGCUGCCGCCCACCGCGUAGCACGGGAAGUCUCGUAUUAAAUGAGCAUACACACAUCGAUCACCAGAGCGUGGGCCCGACGAAAAGAAAACUAAGCCUAGAUCAGUGCUGGACGAGUUGCUGGAUAAACCAUGCCCAAUACACUCGGUCCUGCUAGACGCAAACCCAACCCACAGACUUCGAGCCUGUUGGGUGGUGAGACAGGUAGCCAAACAUGGUGAGUCAAUCUUGGGCCUUACACAUCCAGAUAAACAGUUCGCAGCUUCACCACAGGACCACAAUGUCCUUACGGUCUACGAGACAUUCGCCUCAAACAAUAAAAGGAAAAAGGCUCUUCGAGAGCUCAGCCAUAUAUAUCUGAUACGUCUCCAACGUAUCUAUAAUUUUUGACUGCUUCAUGCUAUAUUAUAUUCUGUUUUGGAUGAUUAAUGGGCUUUGUUAUACACUUUUAUAUUAUUUUUGGGACUAACCUAUUAACCAGAGGCCUAGCCCAAAUUGCUGUUUUUUUUGCCUAUUUCAGUGUUUUGCAGAAAAGAAUAUCAAAUGGAGUCCAAACGGAAUGAAGCCUUCGGGAACGUGAUUUUCGGAACAAACGUGAUCCAGAGGACUUGGACCCUACGUCAAGAAAGCAACCAGGAGGGCACGAGGUAGGGGGGCGCGCCUACCCCCCUUGGGCGCGCCCUCCACCCUCGUGGGGCCCACGCUGCUCCACCGACGUACUUCUUCCUCCUAUAUAUACCUACGUACCCCCAAACCAACAGAAGCAUCCACGAAAACCUAAUUCCACCGCCGCAACCUUCUGUAUCCGUGAGAUCCCAUCUUGGGGCCUUUUCCGGCGUCCUGCCGGAGGGGGCAUUGAUCACGGAGGGCUUCUACAUCAACACCAUAGCCUCUCCGAUGAUGUGUGAGUAGUUUACCUCAGACCUUCGGGUCCAUAGUUAUUAGCUAGAUGGCUUCUUCUCUCUCUUUGGAUCUCAAUACAAAGUUCUCCACGAUUCUCGUGGAGAUCUAUUCGAUGUAAUCUUCUUUUGCGGUGUGUUUGCUGAGACCGAUGAAUUGUGGGUUUAUGAUCAAGUUUAUCUAUGAACAAUAUUUGAAUCUUCUCUGAAUUCUUUUAUGUAUGAUUGGUUAUCUUUGCAAGUCUCUUCGAAUUGUCAGUUGGUUUGGCCUACUAGAUUGAUCUUUCUUGCAAUGGGAGAAGUGCUUAGCUUUGGGUUCAAUCUUGCGGUGUCCUUUCCCAGUGACAGCAGGGGCAGCAAGGCACGUAUUGUAUUGUUGCCAUCGAGGAUAACAAGAUGGGGUUUAUUUCAUAUUGCAUGAGUUUAUCCCUCUACAUCAUGUCAUCAUACUUAAAGCAUUACUCUGUUCUUAUGAACUUAAUACUCUAGAUGCAUGCUGGAUAGCGGUCGAUGUGUGGAGUAAUAGUAGUAGAUGCAGGCAGGAGUCGGUCUACUUGUCACGGACAUGAUGCCUAUAUACAUGACCUAGAUAUUCUCAUAACUAUGCUCAAUUCUAUCAAUUGCUCAACAGUAAUUUGUUCACCCACCGUAAUACUUAUGCUCUCGAGAGAAGCCACUAGUGAAACCUAUGGCCCCCGGGUCUAUUUUCCAUCAUAUUAAUCUUCCAACACUUAGCUAUUUUUAUUACUUUGCAUCUUUAUUAUAAAAAUACCAAAAAUAUUAUCUUAUCAUAUCUAUCAGAUCUCACUUUCGUAAGUGACCAUGAAGGGGUUGACAACCCCUUUAUUCCGUUGGUUGCGAGGUUUUUAUUUGUUUGUGUAGGUGCGAGGGACUCGUGCGUGGCCUCCUACUGGAUUGAUACCUUGGUUCUCAAAAACCGAGGGAAAUACUUACGCUGCUUUACUACAUCACCCAUUCCUCUUCAAGGGAAAACCAACGCAGUGCUCAAGAGGUAGCAAGAAGGAUUUCUGGCGCCGUUGUCGGGGAGGCUUACGCAAGGUCAAGUCAAGAUUUGGACUCCCGACAAUGAGCCAUUUCUGGCGCCGUUGCCGGGGAGUCUACGCAAAAGUCAACAUACCAAGUACCCAUCACAAACUCUUAUCCCCCGCAUUACAUUAUUUGCCAUUUGCCUCUCGUUUUCCUCUCCCCCACUUCACCCUUGCCGUUUUAUUCGCCCUCUCUUUUUCGUUUGCCUCUUUUCCGCUUGCUUCUUGUUUGCUCGUGUGUUGGAUUUCUUGCUUGUCACGAUGGCUCUACCUAGAUUUGGUGAUCUUCACCUUAAAAGGUUAUAAGAGAUCGAAAGCAACGUCAGGAGUUUUAUGACUUUACAAUUUAAGCAUAAUAAUUUCUUUAAGAACGAGCUUAAGGAAUAAAAAACUUCAUGGGUUAUAUGAAUAAAGAGCUCGAUGAUAUGUCUAAAGAAUUUUAUGGUUUGAAAUCUCAGAUUGCUCAUCUCGAAAAAUUAAUAGCUGAAGUUUCGGAUAAGCAGGCCACCUUAGUUAAUAAGAUGGCCGCUAAGCCAGAAAAUUUUGAAAAUAAAUAUGAAGAUCUAAAAGUUAUUGAUGUGUCUCCUAUUAAAUCUUUGUUUUGCAAUAUGAAUCUUUAACAAAAUUGUGGGUUUAUGAUCAAGUAUAUAUAAGUCUCUAUAAAAUAUACGAUAAUAGUAAUAAUAUAAAUAUAUAUAAUGUGGUUAAAAAUACAUUGGGCUGCCGAUCUUUAAGAAAAAGCCCAUAGGCCGGUAUGGGCCUCAAAAAAUAAGUUGAAACCACUGUCACCGUAUUUCAUGGGCUACGCAUGUUAAAAUACAAAACCUAGGCCUAGCUAAUACUUGUUCACCCUCUAGAAAAAAAUGAUACCAGAUCCUCGAGCGAACUGGAUUAUAGAGGGGGCCGGCGGCACGACUGAAGAAGCACAUCAGGAGCGAUUUUUUUUCUUCAGUGGAUGGCUCUCGAUGGCGUUUUUUUACUUGCCUCUGCACCAUACAACUUGUAUUUUUAGCCUCCCAGUCCAUGGUGGACUAGCAGCCCAUUUGCUGGGUGGGCCAACCUACAGAAACCAGCACUCGAUUUUUCAUCAAGCCCCAAAAACAAUGUAGUACUCUGUUUGUUUUGAGGCCGAAAACAUUACGGCAGGGGUUGAGCGGGGGAGGGGGCAAGACAGAGCAAAAAUAUUAAAAAGAGCUGAUCCGCCGUUGCUACCCUAACAAAUCAGGUGCAAUUCUUCUCGGGAAGAAGGUGUGACGUUGACACCCACACGUCACAUACCCCACAGUAGGCAUACUAACAAGUUCACACACAAGCACAGAAGAAAAGGUAAACAUUCGUAUCAAACUCAGGUUCACGGGACACAUUCAUAUUCAUAGCCAACAUUCACUAUCAACAACUCAAAAGAUUCAUAUAUACACAAGUUCAGCAUGUCUAUGGAUCCAAAUGAUUGAUAGAUCACAGAACAAUAUUCAUAGAUAAUUCACAAAAAGAUUCAGAUAUACACAUGUUCAGUAUGUUUAUGCAUCCAAAUGAUUGAGAUCACAGCCAAUAUGAUCCAUGGACGAACUUUAAUUACCUAGGGUACAGACUGGUAAAUGGUGUUCAGUCAGAGGUACUUCUUGCUAAAAUUAAUGCUUGUACGAGUAAACUUUCAAGUACAUAAGAGGCAACACAGACAAUCUGAACUUUGCUUGUAGGUUUAUCCUCAAAUUGUGGCCUCGUGCCGAGGGAGGUUUGAACAACUUGGCCACUACUUUCAUCCAACUAGUUUACUGGCUCAUCUUGGUCCUGUAGCUCGCCAAAAUUCUACAUUGCAGACUGGUAAAUGGUGUUUAGUCAGAGGUACUUCUUGCUAAAAUUAAUGCGUAGAGAAAAAGAGAAGAGUUUUGCGCGGCAAUACAAUGUCAUGCAGACAUCGCUCCAUGGCGGGUUCAAUGGCAAACCCUCCCCACCCCUCUCCAGAUUGUAAUCCAGAGGAAGAUAUAUGUUCUGAGGCGGAUUCAGACGCCGCUGACCACUCCUAUUUACCCCCCAAGGUGUUUGCUCUACCUUGGCAUGAUGAUGUUAGUCAUAUCAUGCAUAUGUUGCCUUGCAGUGCCUACUUUUGACAUCAUAUAUGUCAUCUGCUUAGUUUAGACAUGUUCUGUAAUGCCACCUGUUUAGUUUCUAUAUCAUAUAUGGGAAUUAUGCAGUCUCAUGUCUUUUAGCCAGCCAUAAUAUACGUGAAAUGUGCAAUGCCAUCCUGUUUAACCAGGCAUCAUAUAUUUGAAUGUUAUCUUGCCCAUCCUUUUAUUCAUUACAUUUCCAUUUGUCGACAAUGUUUGUACAUUAAACUACUCUUCCUGUGAAUCAGCCAUUUGGGUGGGAGAUUGAAAAAUCUAGAGUGAAAACAAGGCCUUCAGAGCAGAAAGUGCUACCUGUCGAAGCAGAUCUCUUGUUGGGUCCCGAUAGCUCCUCAGAGAUGGAUUCAGAGACAGAUGACCAGUCCUAUUCCCCCACCGAGGUGUAUGCUCUAACUUGGCAUGGUUAUACUGCUCAUAUCAUGCAUAUGGUGUCUUACAUUGCAUAGUUUAGACAUCAUAUACACAAUAUUCAACACCAUGUUCUUAGUUCAGACAUCAUAUCUAAUGCCCUCUGUUUAGCAUAUAAAUCACAUAUGUGAAUUAAAUGAUGCGAUCCUGAUUACUUAGAUAACAUGUAGGUGAAUUAUGUCAUGCGAUCUUGUUUAGUUAUUCAUCAUAUCUUUGAAUUAUGUUAUGCUAUGCUAUCCAGUUUAGAUAGACAUCAUAUAUGUGAAAUUAUGUCAUGCUAUCCGUUUUAGUUACACAAUAUACAUGUCAACUAUUUCAUGCCCUCUUUUUUCCACACUAUCUAUUGCAUCUGUCUCUCAUACAAUGUUUGUACAUUCAACUAUGUUUCCUGUUUAUCAGCCAUUUGAAUUGGAGCGGGUGAUGCCAGCAUAUAGCGGACUAAAAACACGGUCUUCAAAUAAAACAGUGCUACCUCUUGGUGGAGAUAGCACCCCGGUUGUACAUGCACGAGAACCAGCCCUACCACACAUAACCCAAACUCUCGCAGAUUGUACCCCUACUGUGAUGGACAGAGAACCAGCUUCACCAAAUCUAACCCCAACCCCAGCAGAUAGUAACCCAGUUCCUGUUGACACAGCACCAUCUCCACCACAGAGCUCCCAAACAAGAGCAGUUAGUAAGGUAGCUCCAGUGCCCAAAGGGCCAGUACUACCACGGCGAACCCCAACUCCACCAGUUAGUACGCCUAUUCCUGUGGAGGAAGCACAACCAGCUAGUCGUAGUUUAGCAUCUAUCGCAUUUGAUGUUGUUAAAUCGUAUGUGUGUAUCUUCCCAUCUUGGAAAUAUUAUACUGAAGAUGAAGGAAAAUGCAAGUUGCAGGUGUUUGUCCAGGAGUUAUGUGUAAGUAAUGUUAUUCAUGGCAAUUACUUUGCUUUGUCCCAUACAUCCUACCUCCAUGAUGGUUAUAAUACAUCAAAUUUUCCCAUUUUUCUCUAUAGAGAAGGACCAAUUUGGAAACUCAGGAUGAGGUAACCUGUGCUAAUACCUCUGCUAUCUUCAAGAAUGCUUGGUGGCAGUAUCAGAAUUACCUAAAGAAAAUGUACUUCACCGGCAAAGAAACUCAUCAAAUUCCCUUAUGUUCUCCUGAGACACAUUUACUGGGAACGCCUUGUUCUGUACUGGUCCCGAACCAAGAAUGUGGUAAGGUCUAUGAGCUCAUUUUCUAUUUUAAGUAUUAUAUUGUUGCGUCUUACUGUACUUUGUUCAUGUAGAACAAGUGCCUAAACCUGAAGAACAACUGUUCUAAUUUAAGAUUCCAUUGCUAUCAUAGUUCAAAAAAGUGCUAGGCGUUAAUUGUGCGUUUUGCCACCGCCUUGUGCUUUACUGACCAAAGCGCGUGAUUAUGCGCAGUUAUGCACAGAUUAAGCGUAGUUAUGCGCAAUGCGUUUCGCCAAUGCCUAGAGCCUAGGCGCGCUUAAGCGCUCGCUUAGGCGCGCCUUUUUUAACUAUGAUUGCUAUCAUGCAUACUGCUUUCCUCUUGUACCACUGUAUUUACUCAUACAAACUUAAUUUUUAAUUGAAGGAUCCAAUCGAAACUCCAAUGGCACAACAGGUAUGUUCACGCAUGUUUCUUUAACAGGCUUGCUCUUAUCAAUAGCUCUGUUGAUUUCAAUUUCAAUUGUGUAUACAGUUGACUUCUCAUAUCAUGCACAUUACUAGCAUCACAACAGAGCCAAUAGUGUUGUUGUACAUGUAGACCCGUGGUACCCAUCUGAAAUCUUGUUGUGCCGUGUAGUUUCCCACGCUUUGUAUUCUUUCACUGCUGCUUUGUCUUGAACUGAUAUGAUUUGAACCGUGUCUCUAUUUUGAUUUGGCAAGACAAUGCAGUGACCAUAGGACAUAGAUAUAUGUUUGUUUGAUGCUUUUAUUAUGUAUUAGUACUUGGCAAUAGAAGACUUGGUAGUUUAAUCCUGUCCACCUUACUAAUGAACUGGUUCACCGAAAUGAGUUUCAUAUACUAGUACGUGCUAAACCUGUUAUGUGUCUGCUUGUUUCUUCUUUUAGAAUGCUGACAGAAUAUUGGGGAAGAGUGCCUUAUUAAGCAAUGGUAAAGGAAGUAAUGCAGAUAAGGUUCAGGAUAGUGACACAUCCUUGUUGGUCUCCAACAAAGCUGAUAAAACAGCUAAGGAAGACUAUCUCGAAGACAGUGAGACAACCCCAAAGUCCUGUCUUGGUUUAGUGUUCGAGUUACUGGCCACUACCGCUUGCACAAGCUAUUCAAACUCACUGUCUGAAUCAGUUCAGUUUCUUGAGUCUCAACUACAAGCUGAAAGACAUCGAUCAGCUGUGCUGCGACAAGAAGCGGAAGGACUGUGGAAGUCGCUGGAGCAUUCAGAUGCAUACUUUCUGGUGCAACAGCAAGCGUUGGAGUAUUUUAGCGCCAAACAGGACAAAGCUAAUAAGCUUGCUAAGCUUAUUGCCAGCAUGGUGGAUACCACGUUUCUUGAGCUCUUCCGAAGUUGUUUCAGUUAUGCUCUUGUUUUGCUGCCGCGUUUAUUUGCACUGGUAGCCAAUUUUGACGGCCAGUGUAUGUAAUAUGCUGCUUUGUUCCCUAUCUUUGCACUGGUGGCGAACUUUGAUGCCCAGUGGAUGUAAUAUGUGUAAUAGCGGUAAUAGGCUAGCGUUAAUUGCUUGCUUAUUUAUUUCCUUAUUGUCUUGUUUAGUUGUUUGCUUGUAGUCACUGCAGUUCUUUUUCUGUGUUUUUCUAGUGGCCACAAUAACCUAUUUUUGGAAACUAGGCCAAAAUAAUCAUGGCAACACGGGGACUGUUGUAACCAUGGGCCUCCUGCGGGCCGUACGAUCCAUGGGCCUUCUACGGGCCAUAGGAUCCAUUGGCCUUCUAUACGAGCCGUACGAUCCAUGGGCCUUCUACGGGCCGUACAAUCCAUGGGCCUUUUACGGGCCGUAGGAUCCAUGGGCCUUCUACGGGGCAUGUCAUCAUUUCGCCAAUCAUGGGCCAUACUAUUCGUGGACAAUAACGAGCCGUUAAUAGGCCGUAUUUGAUAACUCUAUGAAAACAGCCCAACGGGUUUUUUUCGACAUGAAAACGGCCCAACGUAUUAAUGGGCCACAAACGGGCCGACUGUAACCACGGGCUGAAUUUGGCCCACAAGCAGAAAAUGACAGUAACGGGCCGUAAGUAACCGAAUGCUGGAAAUGAGCCCAAGAAUAAAUGGGCCAUGAGAAGGCCGAAAGAUAACAUGGGCUGGAAACGGCCCAACGGAAUAAUGGGCCAUUAAUGGGUAUAAAGUGAUACACUGUUCAUUACGGGCCAGUUUUACCACGGGCCGUUAAGGGGCCAAGGGUUACUAAGGGCCUCAUAUGGGCCGAAAGACGUCAUGGGCCAUACAUGGGCCGGGAGUUAAAACGGGCUGGAAUUAUAUUGGACGGCCCAGAUGACGCUACUGGGCCUAAUUCGGAUAGGCCGUAAACGGGCCCUGGGAUAGCGGGCUAUAAAUGGGCUAUAUGCGAACAGGUCAUUAAUAGGCUUGCCGUGGGCUGGCCCGCCACCUUUUGACCAAGUCAAACGGGCCGGCCUUUUCACAGGAAUGGGCCUCUGUUGGUCCGUGCCAUGUGUCGACGUAUCAUAGGCGCUUUCGGUCCAAUGAGUGGAUGGCAUCUGUCCCAACGGUGAGCCGACAUGUGUUUCCUCCAGCCAAUGAUGAUUUUACACGUGGAAAAUCCCCAUUGGUCGGGGCUGUUAACGGGUUAUCGGAUCCAAAACCGGACCCGAUAGCUUAACGGCGUUCCGUUACGGUGGAUGUCACCCUUGACGAAAGCACUUCUGUGACGCGUGAUUUAUCGUCAUGGAAGUGGACACUUCCGUGAUGAUAAUUUUGGUAAUGUCAUGGAACACUUCUACGACAGCACAUGUAUGACUAUCUUGAUUCUGUCAUAAAUUUUUCAUGGAUGUACAUGCAUGACAGAAAACGUGACAUACUAUGACAAACACGUAUCAUCACGAAAGUGUAUUUUUUUGUAGUGUGUGGUUGUCAAAACCAAACACAUAGACCAACUGGUAGAUGACCUACGCCAAACCUUUGACAACCUGCAGGCUUACGACAUACGACUCAACCUGGAGAAAUGCGUCCCUCGGGGUCCCCGCCGGAAAGCUACUCGGAUUCAUCAUUUCCCAUAGAGGAAUCGAGGCCAAUCCGGCCAAAAUUAGAGCAAUACCAACAGAGCUCAAGCAUGUCCAGAAGCUGGCAGGAUGCGUGGCAGCCUUGAGCCCCUUGAUUCCUCGGAGAAAAGGCAUUGCCACUCUACAAGCUGCUCAAAAAGACCAAUAACUUCCAAUGGACAGACAAAGCAACUGCGAUGCUUGAGGAGAUUAAAACACUUCUCGUCGGCAACCCUAUCCUGGCCGUACCUAGUGUCGGCGAGCCCAUGCUACUAUAUAUUUCAGCCACCAAUCAGGUGGUUAGCGCGAUGCUCGUCGUGGAGCGGGAGUAUGAGGGCCACAAGUUCCAAGUCCAGAAGCUGGUCUAUUAUGUGUCCGAGGUACUUACACCAUGCAAAUAACGAUACCCGCAUUAUCAAAAGAUAGCCUACAUGGUUUUUAUGGCAUCCCGAAAGCUACGACACUACUUUCAAGAAUAUUUGGUCACAGUGGCAUCAGAGGUCCCCUUGAAUGAUAUAAUCAACAAUAGGAAUGCCACGGGCCACAUCGCCAAAUGGGCCAUCGAGCUCCUCCCCUUCGAGAUAACAUACAAGCCACGCCGAGCCAUUAAAUCUCAGGUGCUGGCCGAUUUUAUAGCUGAAUGGACCGAGGCCGAACUACCCCGGGAGUACAGUACAUAUUCACACCGGACAAUGUAUUUCGACGGCUCAAAGAUGUUAGCCAGACUGGGGGCUGGGGUCAUCCUAAUCUCCCCCACAGGCGACACUGUUCGGUAUGUCCUCCAAAUAAUGUAUACAGACUCCAACAACGCAGCAGAGUACGAAGAGCUACUACACGGUCUUCGUAUGGCCACGUCAAUGGGCGUGCAGUGCCUCGAGGUAAGGGGAGAUUCAAACCUGGCGAUCUCUCAAGUCAAUGGCGAAUUCGAUGCCAAGGACCCCAAGAUGGCAGCAUAAAGAAACGCGGUCCUUCGGAUAUCGUCCCGAUUUGAGGGCCUAGAAUUUCACCAUGUCGCUAGAGACAGCAAUCAAGCAGCGGACGUCCUCGCCCGCAUGGGCGCCAAGUGCGACCCGGUUCCCAAAAACACCUUCCUCGAGCGGCCCUUUAAGCCCUCCGUGGUGUGGCAGGACGACGUCACCGGCACACCACCCAAUGAGCCCACUCACAAUGUCUUGCCCGAAAAUGAACCGGACGAUCAUGUCAUCGGCGGCUCCGCACUCGAGGAAACACCGUCGGCGUCCUGGGACCAGGGGUGCCCAGACUUGCCUGCCUGCGGCCCAUGACGUGGCUCCAUCGGCGAUCUGGUAUGACCCAGCUUCAGGAUCAACAACCCAAGACCCUCGCGAGGGGCCAAGCCUCGCGAGGCAGACUACACCAAGACCUCCUCGAGGGACGGCCUUCUCAGGCUGACUCCCGAGGAGCAGAGAUCUCUAUGCAAAGCUCACCUCGCGAGGUUCAGGUGACGUGAGCCAUGACGAUCAAGGCCAGGCAGGCGCUAGCGGGCGCAGUGUAUCAGUUUCCUCUUUUGUGCUAAGGAGGAAAGCACAGGCGCGGAGUCUCGAGGAAUCAGCCAGAGGUUUCCAUUUCGGUGCAACAAGACCAAGACCGCCAGGACAGCAGGACGGAGGUCAUCGCCGAGCCCACCACGGCGUCAUGACCAGAGGCUUUUGCAGGCGAAGACUACAUUUGUCAGGGUAGCAUGUACUAGCUCUCCCCCUUCAAAUUUGGUCGUUGUGGGAUCCCUUCCCGCCUUACAUUUGGGAAGAGGACCAAGGCCACUAUAAAUAAGACCUAGCCACCACCAUAGAGGGGGACGAGACGAGACGAGGAAAAGGGAGGGAAGAUCAUCCUCACCCUCACCAGCUCAUCCGAGCCCAAGAACACCUCUCCUCCUGAGGCUAUUUUUCCCACUAUACUAGUUCAUCCUCAGCCCUUCGAGGCGAAUCCACCACAAAGCAGGAGUAGGGUUUUACACCGCAAGGUGGCCCGAACCUGGGUAAACUGCCGUGUCCCUUUUCCAUUCGGUUCAUCGAGCUAGGCCGUGAGAUGAGCGAGUAGGCAGACCGGGAGGACGAGUUCUUCGCACGCACCCCAGAGUUCGAAUCUCUCAAGGGUCUGCGGAACCCUGAAUCUGACAUUUGGCGCGCUAGGUAGGGGUGCAUCGGAGCCUCUCUUCCGCCGAUCGACUCGCCACCACUCCACUGCUUCCAUGGCUGACGCUCGUCAAGCCCCUGCUGAGCGUCGGGCCACCCUCGCCGCCCGCGUCGCCCAGGCGGCGCCUGCCAGCGGGCCUCCCCAUCGGUCUCCAUCGCUUGUCGCCAACGCCGCCACUGGCCAAACAGGGCACGAGCAGCAAGCUUCGCCGCUGCACCCCUCCGUGCAGCGUGAUGGACGCACGGCCACCCCGUCGCUGACUCCGGCUGGUUCAUCAUCUCAUGCUCUUCACGCCCCAGCGAACGCGCAGGCUGUGUUGCUCAUGGAGCGCGAGCUCCUGCGCUAUCACCCCGUCGACGACCUCUACAAAGACUGGCUGGACCGCAUCGCCGAGCUCGUCAGCGCCGCCGGGGGCUCUCAUGCACCGUCUCUUUUGCUACCUCACCCAUCGCCUGCGGCGGGUGACGUAGCCCACGGAGUGCCUCCUCCACCACUCCCUCAUUAAGAAGUCGCCCUCGCACGAAGGCGCGAGGCCCCGCGGCGCGACCCGUGAUGUCUACUACACAACCUUCUUCUUGUAGACGUUGUUGGGCCUCCAAGUGCAGAGGUUUGUAGGACAGUAGCAAAUUUCCCUCAAGUGGAUGACCUAAGGUUUAUCAAUCCGUGGGAGGCGUAGGAUGAAGAUGGUCUCUCUCAAGCAACCCUGCAACCAAAUAACAAAGAGUCUCUUGUGUCCCCAACACACCCAAUACAAUGGUAAAUUGUAUAGGUGCACUAGUUCGGCGAAGAGAUGGUGAUACAGGUGCAAUAUGGAUGGUAGAUAAAGGCUUUUGUAAUCUGAAAAUAUGAAAACAGCAAGGUAACUAAUGAUAAAAGUGAGCAUAAACGGUAUUGCAAUGCUAAGAAACAAGGCCUAGGGUUCAUACUUUCACUAGUGCAAGUUCUCUCGACAAUAAUAACAUAAUUGGAUCAUAUAAAUAUCCCUCAACAUGCAACAAAGAGUCACUCCAAAGUCACUAAUAGCGGAGAACAAACGAAGAGAUUAUGGUAGGGUACGAAACCACCUCAAAGUUAUUCUUUUCGAUCAAUCCAUUGGGCUAUUCCUAUAAGUGUCACAAACAGCCCUAGAGUUCGUAGUAAAAUAACACCUUAAGACACACAUCAACCAAAACCCUAAUGUCACCUAGAUACUCCAAUGUCACCUCAAGUAUCCGUGGGUAUGAUUAUACGAUAUGCAUCACACAAUCUCAGAUUCAUCUAUUCAACCAACACAUAGAACCUCAAAGAGUGCCCCAAAGUUUCUACCGGAGAGUCAAGACGAAAACGUGUGCCAACCCCUAUGCAUAGGUUCAUGGGCGGAACCCGCAAGUUGAUCACCAAAACAUACAUCAAGUGAAUCAAUAGAAUAACCCAUUGUCACCACGGUUAUCCCACGCAAGACAUACAUCAAGUGUUCUCAAAUCAUUAAAGACUCAAUCCAAUAAGAUAACUUCAAAGGGAAAACUCAAUCCAUUACAAGAGAGUAGAGGGGGAGAAACAUCAUAAGAUCCAACAAUAGUAGCAAAGCUCGCGAUACAUCAAGAUCGUAUCACCUCAAGACACACGAGAGAGAGAGAUCAAACACAUAGCUACUGGUACAUACCCUCAGCCCCGAGGGUGAACUACUCCCUCCUCGUCAUGGAGAGCGCCGGGAUGAUGAAGAUGGCCACCGGUGAGGGAUCCCCCCCUCCGGCAGGGUGCCGAAACAGGGUCCCAAUUGGUUUUUGGUGGCUACAGAGGCUUGCGGCGGCGGAACUCCCGAUCUAUUCUGUUCCCCGAAGUUUUUAGGGUAUAUUGGUAUAUAUAGGCGGAAGAAAUACGUCAGGGGAGCUACGAGGGGGCCACGAGGGUGGAGGGCGCGCCCAGGGGGGUGGGCGCGCCCCCUGCCUCAUGCCUCCCUCGUUGCUUUCCUAACGUGCACUCCAAGUCUCCCGGGUUGCUUUCUUUCCAAAAAUAACUUCUCUAGAAGGUUUCAUUCCGUUUCGACUCUGUUUGAUAUUCCUUUUCUUUGAAACACUGAAACAAGGGAAAAACAGGAACUGGCACUGGGCUCUGGGUCAAUAGGUUAGUCCCAAAAAUAAUAUAAAAGUGCAUAGUAAAGCCCAUGAAACAUCCAAGACAGAUAAUAUAAUAGCAUGGAACAAUCAAAAAUUAUAGAUACGUUGGAGACGUAUCAACCCGCCGCGCAGAGCGCUGGCGCGCGAAGAAGAAAGCUGCCAGGUGGUCCAACGCCCGCAAGGAGAGGCGUGUGCGCUUCCAGCACUGCCGUGUCAAGACCGCGCGCCGCCUAUGGCGUUGGCGCGCGAGCUCCAAGAUCUAGCUCCACCUCCACGACGGGCUCGUGUGACCACAGCAGGCUGCCGCGCCUUCACUCCCGAGCUUCGCAGCUCGCCUUGGUUCGCUCACCGUGCAUGGUGCGCCGCUGUCUAGCGUAGUCAGAGGAUAACAGUAGGGACCCACCAGAGUCAUGGCAGUACGCAAGCAACUGCCUUGUUAUUACAAGCCAAAAAAUGCUUCCUCCUAAUGGUUUGACAUCUGGGUCCCACGCCAUUGUCAACGUAUAGUCAAUAAACGAGAGAAUUACACAACGAGUUGCUGACACCAGGGACCCAGCAGGUCGCGCAGUUGUUAUUUAGUUUUAGAGACGGAGCAGGGUAUCAAAGGGGUUGUGCGAGGGCUGUAGCCUCUCUAGCCUAGGGUUUUAUUUUAUGUUUACCACAUGACGAGCCCAGUUGUUUUUAUUUUCUUUCUGAAAAUGGCGAGCCCAGUUCUAUUUUUUUACAGAAUACCCAACCGAGGCCUAUUGGGCUGCAAAUCUUUCAAGACGAUGACGGAUGUAUUCGCUUUCCCAGAAAAUGGGCUAUAAGUAGUAAGAAAUGGGCUGUAAAUUUUAAGAACACAACAAACCGGCAAUUAGUUUCAAAUUGCUUUUUUUAGGAUUUCAUGAUUUUAAAUUUCAUUGAUUGUUUUUGCGUGGGAAUUUAAGUUGGAUUUUAAAUUGAUAUAAAUUUAAUUUUCAAAUUGGUUUGAAUGUGACUUGAAAUUUUGAGAUUAAAAAAGUUUGGACCGCACUGAAAUAUGCAAAGUUUCAUUGUAUUUUUUAACCGUGGCCAGAAUAUGGGUUGUAAUUCUACAAAAAGAAUAUGGGCUCCAAAAAAAUCCUUAAGAAUUAGCAAAUGGGCUGUAAAGUAUUAUAAAGUAGAGAGGCUGACUGUAGGGUCCCACGUGGUCCAUGGCCGCACGCAUGCAAGUGCCUCCUUAUCACGCAACAGAAAUGAUUGCACCUCCUGACAGUUGGGACCCACCAGCUACAUCUUCACACGCAAGGAAGUGCCUGCUUAUUACACGGGGAAAAAAGUUUCCUCCACCUGACAGCUGAGACCCACCAGCUACAUCUUCGCACGCAAGGAAGUGCCUCCUUAUUCCGCGCAAGAAAAAUGAUUCCUCCCGCUGCUAGGUGGGACCCACCAGAUUUGGUGGCUGACUCGUGGGCCUACUAAGUUGACGUGUAUGCAGGGUUUUGUCAACCUAGUCAACAAACGAUUCUAGUAGCAAUGACCAUUGGAUGUUGAUCCAACGGUCAUGUUGCUUCUUCAACCUCUGAUCUUUGUGCUCCAGCCGCCCAAACCAGCGCCGACAGGACCGCCUGCUCCUGCCUCCCGUGGCCGGUUGUGCUGCCACCGCUGGCCAUGCCAUCUCUCUACUCACCCACACCUCAUGUUAUUCUCCGGCGACGACAGCCUCACACCGCAGCCGAACCAGUCAACCCUCGUACUCCCCUCCACGUGGGCAUUCGCUACUGGGUGUUCCCCAGGCUCCGUGUCGUUCCCUUCCUAGCCUCGUUGUCAUCCGCCACCUUGGUGCUCUUGGCGCGGCGUGGUCAACGAAUGACAACCAUCGGAAGACGACUGUACACGGUGACGCUGGCAGCUGGACCCACCAGCUACAUCUUCGGAUGCAAGGAAGUGCCUCCUUAUUACGCACAAAAAAAUGAUUCCUCCCCCUGAUAGCUGGGACCCACCAACUAUAUCUUCGCACGCAAAGAAGUGCCUCCUUAUCCUCCCUGACAGCUGGGACCAACCCGGUCGAAGCGUACGUAGCAUUGUCUGUCUGGUCGCGAAUGUGUACGUAGCGUUGUCGUAGUACAGGCCGGCCCCUAUGGAGCAGUCCAUGCAGUCCCGCCUAAAUUGAGUACAUGUACGUAUAGCCACGCUGCCAAAAAUACAGGCACGUAUGCACAUACGGCCAGGGUCUCGAACAUGUACUCGCGCAUACGUACGGCCAGGGCUCAUGUACAUGGAUAGGCAUCGGACGACAGCAACGGCCACCUGUUCAUCGGUAGCCAACCGGCUGGGUCGGAAUAGAGGAAACAUCGUCGUGUUCACCGGGAGCCAAGCGACUGGGUCGAAACGCAUCAUGUUCAUCGGGAGCGAAGCCACUGGGUCGAAACGAGUGUUGUUCAUCGGGAGCCAUUCGGCUUGGACAGAACAGCCGAAACGGGGUCUGACGUACCGCAAAACGGAGGAAACGAUCUUUUAUUCGACCACGUAUGGUUGAGACGGGGCUCUGUUGAUCGGGAGGGGUCCGGCGUACCGCAAAACGAAGGAAACAGACUUUUGUUCGAGCGCCUACGGUCGAAACGGGGUCCUGUUGAUUGGGAGGGGUCUAGCGUACCGCAAAAUGAAGGAAACAGACUUCUCUUCGACCACCUACGGGUGAAAUGGGGUCCUGUUCAUCGUGAGGGGUGUGGCGUACCUUAAAACAAGACUCCACAUGCUACUGUUCAUCCAUCGUCUAGCUACUGCCUCUCGCUCCAACCUCCACGGGGGUACUGUUCAUCCACCGUCAUCCUCCAGGCUCCACCGGCUACUGUUCAUAGAGCCUCCAUGGGGUCCUGUUCAUCCACCCCCAACCGGCUUGGAUGUGGAGGCCUCCUCGGGGUCCUGUUCAUCCAGCGGCAAUCGCCUACUACCACAGGACCUGUUCAUCCAACCCCCACCAGGAACUGUUCAUCCAGAGCCAACCAACCGGCUUGACUCACCACAGACUCAUUCUACGUACCGCGUGCAUGGUAGCAUGGUCACUGUUCAUCGAGAGGCAACCCAACACCGGCUAGCUACAUCUCACACGGGGGCUCGAUCGGCUUCAGUAAGCAGCAGCAGUGAUCGAUCGCUCGGGUUCAGUUAGUAGCAGUAGCGAAAGAAUCACGAUCGGGUUCAGUCAGCAGCGAAUGAAUUGCUCAGGUUUAGUUAACAGCAAGGGAUCGAUCGCUCGGGUUCAGUAACAUAGCUAGUGCGAUCGCUCGGGCUCAGUUAGCCAAUGCCCUCGCACACACGCGCCGUAUGAGAGAAAUACGCAAACGACAAUGCAUCGUUAGGCCCCUACCACCCACCGUAACCGGGAACUCCCUGAUAUUUUCUUCGCCCUCGCUUCUACCACGAUUUUUUCCGUCAUGGACGUCCCAAAGAAUUUCAUGCAGGUGCGUCUCUGGCCUGCCCAGAAUGAAAAGCCCAUUUUCUGUCAUGAUUUUUUGUCAUAAAAGUAGGAUCCCACCACAUCUAUGAUGUUACGUGUUUUUGUCACAAUUAUCAUCAUAGAAGUGUCAUAAGCAUGACAGGAAAACUUUUUGUUCGGGCCUAAAUUUCACAGAUAUGUCUUUUUUUUGUAGUGUGCGGAUGAAGCCAUGGUAGACAGUGGCAAAGGUAUAUUUCUUGGAGUUAGGCUAACUUCUCACCAGGAUUCGGAACAUGGCACGAACGGGAUUUCUCCCGAGUCUAAGUAACAAACCUUCUUGGAAUUGAAGAUGUGGCUCGAUGACUACUCGGUUACGCAUUAUCGUCCACACAAGGUGGUUCACACGGAUGUCAAUGUGCGUUACACGGUUGGAUGUGAGGAGGACUGAUGUCCAUGGAUUGUGCGUGCAAGACCAUGGAAAGGAGGGCCCACGUGGCACAUAGUGAGUUGUGUGCCAAGUCACAUGUGCCGAGGCAAGAAGGUGGAUGGCAAGGUUGUGUCCCAAAACCACAGACAACUCACGUCUGAAUUCAUCGCUUACAGGCUUUGCAACUCAAUAUCCUCACUCCCAACUAUGAGCAUUCAACAAGUCAUGGACCUUGUGAAAGCCAUCUUUCAUUACAAGGUGAAAUGAGGCAAGGCAUGGAAGGCAAAGCAAGCCGCAUUCAAGAUGUUGUAUGGCAGUUGGGAUGAAGCAUACAACCAAAUCCCUAUGUUGUUGUUAGCUAUGUUCCAAUUUACAUGUUUUUUCACAUGUUCUUCUUGUCAUUACUAACUAUUAUGUUUCUAUCAUCGUAGGUAUGGCGGCUUCUCAACCCAACAAAUCAACAAUGAAGGGGGUGGAGGAGAAGGAUGGGGAAGGUGACAUGGCAGGGUGGUGGGAGAAGGCUGCGAGGAAGCUGAGAGAGGAGGAUGCAGCCGCAUUAGAGAAGAAGAAGCAACAUGAGUUAGAAGCCUCAGGAUCUACACUGUGUGAUAUGGUGCCUGAGAGCAAGAUGUUGCACGUACACUUAGAAAUUUUUUGGCCCCAGAAUCUGCCUGUAACCUUCUGUUGCUCUCUGGACUACAUGUCAAGAUGUGCGACACCUUGCUCUUAGACACCACACCACACUGUGCACCGCCUGGCUGCACUGUGUGUUGUGGCGUCUGAGAGCAAGGCGUUGCACGUACACUUAGAUUUUUUUGGCCCCAGCAUCAGCCUGUAACCUUCGGUUGCUCUCUGGACUGCAUGUCCAGAUGUGUGAUGCCUUGCUCUCAGGCGCCACCACACAGUGCAGCGCCUGACCCUUAGGCGCUGCACUGUGUGGUGCAGCGCCUUGGUGUUAGGUGCCAUGCAUUUGUUAACUGCAAAAUCAGAAAAGUGACUAUUGGAUACAUUUUCAUUCAACAUUUUGAUUAAUGAUAGAUAACAUGCAUCCCAAAUACCACAUUAAGGAACAACAUUAUCACAAUUUCAACAUCACUUCAACUUGAACAAAGACAACAAGUUCAACAUCACUAAGAGGUACCGUCACUUCGAAUUCAACAAAAACAAGUUCAACAUCACUAAGAGUGCUACAAGUUCAUCAACAUGAGAAAAUGACAACUAGUCGAGUUACAUAAGAAAAUGACGACGACUAGUUCCUUCCACGCUUAUUGCUGCCUCUUCCCCUCUUGACGGCUAUCUUCUCCUUCCUAGAAGGAGCAACCGGCUCCGGAUCCUCCUCCUCCACCUCGUUCACAUAAUCAUCCAAGCUCGCCAUCCGCGAGGUGCCACCGACCGUCCUCUUGCCUUUAUUGUUGAACUCUUUGGGCGUGUACCGAUCGAUUGCCAUCCUAGGCUUUAACAUGUAUGCUGACCAAACUUGAUAGUUCUGCAAGGUCAUGUCAUCAUCAACCUAUCAUAAAAGCAAACGAUAUGGUAAAGAACGUGCGUCAUGAUGAAGUUAGCAAUGCACCAAAGAGAUGAAUAUGUGCUAUUGUCAUACCUAUUGGGUGAGCACACCCUCACCUCCAGAUGAGUUGUCGACGUAUUCUCAUCCUCCAAAUGAGUCCCAUGCUCAGAUUGGGGAUCAGAGGGUGUAGUGGGCCUAGGCAACGUAGGUUCUGAGUAUUCGGGGUCACGGCCACCGACAAGGUUGGAAAACCGCCUUAACCUUUGGCCCUGACGCUGUAACAUGGACAAGUGAAUACGAUAUCAAACUUAGCAACAUAUGUAACAUGGACAACUGAAUGAGAUUUAUACCUUAAUGAAUGCUCGAAGGCACCUUCCUCUUUGCCUUUUCCAAGCGGGGUUGUUUCCAGAAUAGCCUGGCUUUUAUUAGCUGAUUUCUUGAUCUGGUUGCCCUGUGGACGGGAAUGACAUAAAGAUGUUAGUCAAGCAAAGAUGUAAUAUGGCCAAUAGUGAAAUGCAGAGGGGAACACUUUACCAGAAAGUUCAUCACUGGAGAAUAAGGGACUCGGGUCCCUUCCUUGACAUAUUUGUUGUAUUUGUGCUGGGAUAGCUCAUCAAAGACAAUGGGAUCUUCCAAAAUCUCCUCACCAUACGUCGGCUUGCAUAACUCCACAUGAGUACUUGCAAGAUACCAUUUCAGGUAAUUGUUGAACGCAAGUGGGUAGUGCUCACGAAGCUUGGAUCCUGCAGUAGCCCGAGCUUGCUCCACACUAAGCUCGAACAUGGUGACAUACUUCUUAUGAUGUUUGUCCCAGUCCUUGAUCUUUCGCUACUUUUUCAUAUCCAACCUGCAUGUUAAAACAUCAAAUAUUAGCACCAUCAAAAAGGACCUAACAAUGCUAAGUGCACAAGGUUAAUUCUAUCUUACCUGUGAAGCGCUUUCUCUGUGUCAUGCCAUUCUGAUGGGUGAGCCUGGAACAAACCAAACUGGCGGUAGAUACGAUGCGGCAUGUGAAGCUCAAUCGCCCAGUUGCAUAUGAGUGGGCACCGCAUAAGCCAAAGAUGCCUAUCCCGCAUGCACAUCGGAUUCAAGAUGAAAUCUCCUGCAUUACCUAAUCUAUCGCUAGCGCCAUAUGGCUCCCGUUCCACCUGCAACAUAGCACAACAAGCAACAUUGAUGUCGAGUUCUCAUGAAAGCAUGAGAAUGAGUGAAGCAGUGUGAAUGCUUACCUGCUCAGCAGUAAUCGUGUCCAACUCGUUGGUGUACUGCCUAUACAUCAUAGUGACAUCGCUAGUCUUCUCGGUUACCACAUCCCACUUCUAAGCCCAGGUGGGGAGCCGUAGUUCAUCGCCGUGGUCAUCCCAAGCCCUGUACGUUAUGUCCUUCAGGCGUCCGGCCGGCAAGCGCUCCCAGCUCCAUACAGAAAGUACGAGCAUACAACCACCAAUACAUCCAUCCUUUGAGAUCCUACAACAAGCAUCGUCCAACUGCACAUAAAGGAAAAUGUGGUUCACUUAGAACAAAAUUGCAAUGAUAAUGUUGCAAUGAAGUGAAAACAAACAACUGACUACCUGUCGGUACAGGUAGGCCAGUGCCACCAAACCCCGACUCCAUUGGUUGUCGAAGACGGUGAGCGCCUUAAGCCACAUCCAUGGAGCGUUCUUGCUAGUGGCGUCAGCAAACAAAGUCCUGGAGAUAACGUACCACAUGUAGACACGAGCAUAUGUCUGCACCACAUCCUCAUUAGCAUCUUGAGGGCAAUGCGCAAAGUUCGCAACAAUCCAGGUGAAUGGAGCUCCGGCUCUUUCCUUCUUCUCCCCUCACCUACUGGAGCCUCUGCAGGAGACAUACCAAUAAGGGCCUCCAUCUGCUGGCACUACCGAUCGGAAUCGGUGCUCAUACAGAGAGUCUUCCCCUCGAUGGGAAGACGGUGAUCAAGGCGACAUCCUGGAGCGUCAUGGUCAUCUCCCCGGUCCAUAGAUGGAAGUUGUGUGUCUCCAUCCUCCACCAAUCAACCAGCACAGUGAUUACUGCAGCAUUGAGGUUCGGCGUCGACCGGCUGACCAGCUGAAUGAACGGGAGGAGUCAUGUCUGCCUGAUGUAUGGUGUGUACCGCUCAUCGUAGGGCAUGACACCACAAGAGACACCGUGAGACCGAAUCUUCAAAGGUUGAAGAAACUGCAAACAAGCAAGCCAGAGUAUUAAAUAUGGGGCAUGUCUAUUUGAACUAAACACAAAUUCCAAAAUACCAACUAAUAUCAUUAUUACCUUCUUCAUAUCUGACAUAAGUAGGCCCGGAGUUGAGUGUCAUAAAAACCAUCGAGAAGCCAAACCAUCCUACAAAUUUUAAACAAAAACAAUCCAUGAGCAUUAUUUACAAUAAAAGCAUGUCAACAAUGAUCACAAAAAUGUUAUGUAUUGACAACAAUAUUGGGUUGCACAAUGGAAGCAUUAUCUACAAUACUCACUCAAUAUUGGGUUGAUAAUUAUCAUCUCAAAUAUAAUCUACACAAACAUGCCAACAUGUAUAUUGUCAAAGCUGUUUCAAAUCCUUAUGGAUGAAGGAAAUAUGCCCUAGAGGCAAUAAUAAAGUUAUUAUUUAUUUCCUUAUAUCAUGAUAAAUGUUUAUUAUUCAUGCUAGAAUUGUAUUAACCGGAAACAUAAUACAUGUGUGAAUACAUAGACAAAAAAAGUGUCACUAGUAUGCCUCUACUUGACUAGCUCGUUGAUCAAAGAUGGUUAUGUUUCCUAGCCAUAGACAUGAGUUGUCAUUUGAUUAACGGGAUCACAUCAUUAGGAGAAUGAUGUGAUUGACUUGACCCAUUCCGUUAGCUUAGCACUCGAUCGUUUAGUAUGUUGCUAUUGCUUUCUUCAUGACUUAUACAUGUUCCUAUGACUAUGAGAUUAUGCAACUCCCGUUUACCAGAGGAACACUUUGUGUGCUACCAAACGUCACAACGUAACUGGGUGAUUAUAAAGGUGCUCUACAGGUGUCUCCAAAUGUGAUGCCCCCGAUUUGACCGUACACUAAUCAUGCACGCAAAUGUGUACGAUCAAGGUCAGGGACUCACGAGAAGAUAUCACAACACAACUCUACAACAUAAAUAAGUCAUACAAACAUCAUAAUACAAGCCAGGGGCCUCGAGGGCUCGAAUACAAGUGCUCGAUCAUAGACGAGUCAGCGGAAGCAACAAUAUCUGAGUACAGACAUAAGUUAAACAAGUUUGCCUUAAGAAGGCUAGCACAAACUGGGAUACAGAUCGAACGAGGCGCAGGCCUCCUGCCUGGGAUCUCCUAACUACUCCUCGAAGCCGAACUCCAUGUAGAAUCAUCCUCGGGAUCUCUAGCUCCUGGACUCCAGCAUCUGGUUGCGACAAUCAGGUAUAGAAAGGGGAAAAGAGGGAGAAAAGCAACCGUGAGUACUCAUCCAAAGUACUCGCAAGCAAGGAGCUACACUACUUAUGCAAUGGGUAUAUGUGUAAAGGGGCAUGUCAGUGGACUGAACUGCAGAAUGCCAGAAUAAGAGGGGGAUAGCUAAUCCUGUCGAAGACUACGCUUCUGGCCAUCUCCAUCUUGCAGCAUGUAGAAGAGAGUAGAUUGAAGUCCUCCAAGUAGCAUCGCAUAGCAUAAUCCUACCCGGCGAUCCCCUCCUCGUCGCCCUGUUAGAGAGCGAUCACCGGGUUGUAUCUGGCACUUGGAAGGGUGUAUUUUAUUCAGUAUCCAGUUCUAGUUGUCAUAAGGUCAAGGUACAACUCCGGGCCGUCCUUUUACCGAGGGACACGGCUAUUCGAAUAGAUAAACUUCCCUGCAGGGGUGCACCACAUAACCCAACACGCUCGAUCCCAUUUGGCCGGACACACUUUUCUGGGUCAUGCCCGGCCUCGUAAGAUCAACGCGUCGCAGCCCCACCUAAGCACAACAGAGCGGUCAGCACGCCGGUCUAACCCUAUGCGCGCAGGGGUCUGGGCCCAUCGCCCUAUGCACACCUGCACGUUGCGUACGCGGCCGGAAGCAGACCUAGCCUAGUGGCGUUCCAAUCCAAUCCGGCGCGCGCCACUCAGUCGCUGACGUCACGAAGGCUUCGGCUGAUACCACGAUGCCGGGAUACCCAUAACUACUCCCGCGUAGAUGGUUAGUGCGUAUAGACCAAAUGGCCAGACUCAGAUCAAAUACCAAGAACUCGUUAAGCGUGUUAUGUAUCCGCGAACGCCGACCAGGGCCAGGCCCACCUCUCUCCUAGGUGGUCUCAACCUGCCCUGUCGCUCCGCCAUAAAGUAACAGUCGGGGGCCGUCAGGAACCCAGGCCCACCUCUACCGGGGUGGAGCCACCUGUCCUUUCAGCCCCCUCAUCAAAAUCACUUGCGGGUACUCCUCGAGCCGACCCGACUUUAGUCACCACAUGUGUCAUGUAUAGAGUAUAUAAGUAUAUACCCGUGAUCACCUCCCGAAGUGAUCACGGCCCAGUAGUAUAGCAUGGCAGACGGACAAGAAUGUAGGGCCUCUGAUGGAACACUAGCAUCCUAUACUAAGCAGUAGGAUAGCAGGUAAGGGUAACAACUGUAGCAACAAUGACAGGCUAUGCAUCAGGAUAGGAUUAACGGAAAGCAGUAACAUGCUACACUACUCUAAUGCAAGCAGUAUAGAGAAGAAUAGGCGAUAUCUGGUGAUCAAGGGGGGGGCUUGCCUGGUUGCUCUGGCAAGUAGGAGGGGUCGUCGACUCCGUAGUCGAACUGGGCAGCAGCAGUGUCGGUCUCGUAGUCUACCGGAGAGAAGAGGGGGAAGAAACAGUAAAUACAAUGCAAACAUAAGCAUGACGAUGCGUGACAUGACAAUGAGCGGUGCUAGGUGUGUCCUAACGCGACAGUAGGUGGUACCGGCGAAGGGGGGGAACAUCCGGGAGGUAUUCCCGAUGUUUCGCGUUUUCGGACAGACGGACCGGAGGGGGAAAGUUGCUAGUUCGAUAGGUUAGGGAGGUCUGGUGGACGAACGGACUGCAUAUUCGGAUUCGUCUCGUCGUUCUGAGCAACUUUCAUAUAGAAAACAUUUUCAUCCGAGUUACGGUUUAAAAGAUAUGAAUUUUCAAAGUUUAUUUGAAUUUCUGGAAUUUUUUGAAUUACGAAAAAAUGAAUUAUGACGUCAGCAUGAGGUAAUGCUGACGUCAGCAGGUCAACAGGUCGGCUGACCAGUCAAACCAGACAGGUGGGUCCAGUGGGACCCACAUGUCAGCCUCUGUUAGUCUAACAGUAAGUUAAACUAAUCUAACAGUCUAAUUAGAGGGGUGGGCCCCAUAUGUGAGUGAGUGAUUACUUAAUAUAAUUAUUUUUAUUUAUAAAAUAAUUGCUAGACUAAUUAACAGAAGGGGGGCCCACAUGUCAGUGGCUGGGUCUGCCCAGUCAGCACGUUGACUGGGUUGACCCAGUCAAUGGGGCCCACGGGGCCCACUGGCAUUGGCACUGGGGUGGCCCCAGGCCAGCCACGUCGGCGGCCGGCGCCGGAGCGACUCCGACGAGCCAAACGCGGCGGCGCGGCUCGGGAGGGGCGCGGGUUUCGCGCACAGGGGGUCUGCGGGGUUGUGGCUGGGCGCGUUCGACGCGGCUCGGCGCCGCGCGUCCAACGGUGGUGGCCGGAGUGGCUGGAACGGGCGGGGGCGAGCGCUUCGAGCUCGCCGGCGGCGAGGUGCUUCGGGCUGGGGCGGGUGCGGCGUUAGAGCGCGCGAGCGGCCGAACUAACUAGCUAGGCGGGUGCGGCACGAUGCGGCCGAGCUAACGGGCCUACGCCCAUGACCAAAUGGUCACCGGAGACCCGCCGGCGACGAGCUCCGCGGCGCUGCGUUCGGGCGCGCGUGGGGAAGCAGCUAGGGGGCACGCGAGAGAGAAAGGACAGGGGAGGAGGGGGGGAGGCUCACCGCGCGGCACACGGAGGCCGGUGAGAGGCUUAGGAGCAGCAGGUCGGCGCCGGGGAAGAAGGGGGUCGCCGGCGUCCGAAGUUGAAGACGAGCUCGGUGUGCUCGUUGUAGGGGCUCCGGUCUCCAACGGGCUGCACCAGACGAAGCAGCGGGCGACGGCGGUCCUUGGAGACAACGUGGGGCGGCGAGGUGGGCACGGUGGCCGUGUGAACGACGGGAACGGCGGCGACCGCGUCGGGCGUGGGGAAGGAAAGAGCAGCGCGGAUCUGGGGGGGAAGAGAGAGGCGCAGGGGCCGAGAGGUGANNNNNNNNNNNNNNNNNNNNNNNNNNNNNNNNNNNNNNNNNNNNNNNNNNNNNNNNNNNNNNNNNNNNNNNNNNNNNNNNNNNNNNNNNNNNNNNNNNNNNNNNNNNNNNNNNNNNNNNNNNNNNNNNNNNNGGAACAGGGAAGGGGGGCGAGUGGGAGAGGUGGGCUGGGCCGGGGGUCGGCCCAGUUGGGCCAGGGGUGCUGUGGGGGGGGGGCCUUCUCCUUUUUCUUUUUCUUUGUCUGUGUUCUUUUGCAUUUUCUUUUUAUUUGUUUAUUUUCUUUUCUGUUUUAUUUAUUUUAGUUAGCAAAACAGUUUACAAAAAUACAACCCCUACUCCUAAAUUAGCAUAAUUGCAUAGGCCACCUACUCCAAAAAGUUUGGUGAUUAUAUAAACUAGAUUAACAUUUGUUUAGUAUUUAAAAGCAUUUAAAUAAUUGUUUUGCUGCUGUUUUUACUUACUAUAGUGCAGUUAAAUACUUUACAAAAGUGUGGUUUCUUCACCAAUAUUUAAUAUGGACUAUUUGGCUCACUCCGAACAUUUUAGUUUUAAUAUUUGUAAACUUUUAUUAUUUGCUUUUAUCUAAAUUUUGAAUUUGUUUCGGUUCUGAACUAUCGAGAGUUUAUCAGUAGUAAACGGGGUGACGUGGCAUCGUUAACGUGGGAUUACUGUAGCUUAAUUAUCCGGGCGUCACAAUUCUCCUCCACUACAAGAAAUCUCGUCCCGAGAUUUAAGAGGGGAAGUGACGGGAAAGGGAUUUGGUCGCGAAAUUCUAACGAGCGUCCUCGAUCUUGGUUGCUCUUUUCGAAGCGGUUGAUCCAUUACGUUGAUGUCUUCAUUUUCCUGCUUCAGGUCAACAUGAUGAAGCUGGCAUCCUUUCCUCGGGGACUCCAUCGUACUUACGAAAGGAUAGGAGGGAAACUACAAGGACAGGUGUCUGCAAGGGCUGAUAUUCGGCAAUUAGCUCUGGGGUUUUGGACCAAGGUAUCCCUUGAGUCGAAACUUAGGAAAACAUCGAGAGCAAAGUAAGAAGGUACAAUAAGGAGUUUCAAGCGGCCAGGCAAUCGUUCGAUGCCUGAAACAGGGCGUGAAAGGGGCUCAAAGCAAUCGGGAAUAAGUAUUGCGUCUUAUACCAGAAUAGAUCAAUAGGCAGGUGGCCCGUGAAUUACAUACAAAGUCAAGCACGAGGAAUAACUUUGACAAAAGGGUGUACAGGAGAGUCAGGUUUCGAUCCUGUGGAACUGUGGGUUAUGGGCCCACCAUGUGGGUUAAAAGUAGGAAGGCGGAGACGUCUUGCGUGAUCAUGCAAGCAAGGCAUGUCAGAGGGUAGCCUGUCAGUUAUGUCGGCAACAACGUCGGUACCAAGGGCGAGGGACGAAGAGAACCAUUUUCCUGCUCGUUGAACGAGGCGGACCAGUAGGCAAAGUUCUCGUCCAUCAGUGGUUAACGAAAUGUCACCAACAAUAUUAACAAGGUCUUACUGACAGAGUUGUACACCGAGGUGUUUACAUAAGCAGGAGAAUAUUACUGCUUAGAUCAUAUAGAUCACCAGAAAGGUUAAAUCAAACAAUGGAAAGGAAAAUAUGAUUAUCAGAUUAAACAGAAGAAUGGAAAGGAAAAUGUGUUAAAACACAUAUUUCAAGGGUAUAUUCUUCCCAACGGUAAGCAGAGCAUGAUAUCCAUGACGGGAUAUAACGUAGAAAACUCUUUAGGUAAGGGGAAGGAAAUUUCAUGACAUUACCCAUACAACGGUGUUUGGAUAAUUGAGCAGGAAACAAUUAGCUUUGGGCUUCAAAUGUUCCUGUUGAAAAUCGGAGUACCAUAGACAUGCUUUGAGAUAGCAUUGACAUGGUCAACAGGUGAAGAUCAGAAUUUGGAAACAAAAAGGAUCCAUCAGGAACAACUUAUAGAAUAAGUCUUACAAUUUCCUCAUGGAAGAAUAGAUAACCUUGCUGAAAGGAAAGCUUAUAACAACAGGUCCUCCGGCCAGGUGUGUUCGGCAUGUCAUCCCUUACCGGGUCAUAAAUAGGCCAAUGUUAUAACUCUUGGAAAUAUGUUCCAACCAUCAUAUCUGCCCGAGAUUCAUAUCUGAUUGGUGUCAGGAUAACUCAGACUCAGGCUGCCUGAGAAGAAAGGUGCAACACAAAUUGUCGAAACGACAUCGGAGAUUCUCGGGAGAUGAACUAUGGAAGCGAGUUCCGGACAAGGGUUCAUCAUUACAUCAAGGAGAGGUGAGGAGGUGACUAAUUGACUCAGCGACAAUCCAUUGAGAUUUCCAAAAGAUGGAUUUCCAUCACUAUGUGAACAAGGAGAUAACAUUAGCUAGAUCGAAUGACUUAAUGAUGUAUGCUUGAGGAAAACAUACACAGUUAAACAUUGGUUGAAAUGUGCACCCGAAAUAUGGGCUAGGUAGCACAAUCAAUGUCCGAAUGAUGAUUCAUUAAGCCAUAGACGUAGAAUGAAACUAUAGACCAAUAACUUCAAAGCAAUAGGGUUGCUAGAAGUUUAGAAUUUACACAUCACAGACCAUUGGUCGGUAUUCCUUUUAGAAACAACACGGGGACCAAGAAGAAUGGUGAUGGGGAGAAGUAUCACUAUACCAAGAUGUCAUGCGAGGUGGUGAAAUUCUUACGACAUACUUGACAUAAAAGAUGGUAAUACUCCAAGGUAAAGAAGAACAAUUGCUGGAUAGCAAGGAACUCAAGGUAUAACACCAAACACGAACAAGCUUGUGUUGGUGGGAAGGCAAUAAAGUGGUCGAUGAUAACACAGAUCAUCGAGGGCAAGGAUGGUAUUUCUCAUCAUGAACUCAAUCGAUAUCCUAGAAGAGCGCAUAAGGUUGAUGAUGAUCACGACACAUUUGUCGAGAGAUUUCAUGAAGAUGUAAAAUCAGCGACGACAUCAAGUCAAAGGAAUGAUGAAGCAGACGGUUAUUGGAACCAUGGGUAGGACACACGCUUGAAAUCAAGCUUGUUGUUCAAGGUGAAAUGGUAUGAGAGGAAGAUCGGCGUAAGCUUAGCUCAUCAUCGAAAGUUGUGCUCCGGGGUUAAGGACCAGGUAGCACAGUUAAAUUUAGCACGCUAAUGAUAUAGCCGAUCAGGCUAGGAAUGACUUAAUGAUUAUUAAACUCGUAAGCAACGAAAAUUACCUAGAGUUAUUGAAUCGGAGUGCGGACUUGAUUCACUAACCGGUGUUCUCGGUUGACAAACAACCCAGAGCCCAUGAAGUGACAAAGACAAGGUAAGGUAGUACUUCAUCAAAGUUUAUAAGAUGUAGUGCAAUGGUAAGAUAUCCCCGAGAUACCAGGGGUAAUACUCAAGGGUAGAUCAUACUAGAGGUUGGGCAGGCGUAUUGACCUGCAGAAGACAAGUGAUUUAACUUGUCCAAGAAAUGGUAUUUAAAGGAGAACAUGGUCGGAACCACGAUUGCAAAAGGCCAGAUCCCAGAUAUAAGAUGAACUUAUACCAAGGGAAUAAUUAAUUUAAGAGAAGCUUUUAAUGAUAAGAUCUACAUCGUGUCCAUGGGCAUGAACACAAAGUUCAAGGUUGACUCCCACUUCUUCAAUGCAUAACCUUUCAUUCACUUCUCGCGUUUGAUGAAGUUGAAGUGUUGAAAAUUUUUAUCUGGUAAAAUACUAGAAGAGUAUGACUCAUGAAAACUUUCGAGUUCACACAUAUUAAGGAAGGCAUAGGUUCAAGCCAUUGGGGCUUCUUAGAACAUAUACCACGAACUUCGGAGUAAAUAAUACAAGCUCGAAAGUAGAGUAUGGUUCACAAGGCAGAGGAUACAAUUUACCAAAGGCAUCAUGUAUCCGAGGAAAAGCUCGCCAGCUUAUUUAAUAUGGAGGACAUUGUCGGAUAAAAUCCGAAAAAAGGGGCUGGUGGUCCCCAAGGGAUCUGAUGUGAGCAUCAGUACUCAACCAGAGGAAGAAAGAAUGCAAGGAGAUCAGACUAUAGAAACAACUGACUAACUCAAAAGCUCAAAUGCAAAGGAAUUAUGAAUUCCAAGACAAGGGAUCAGAAGCAAUGCUCUGAUUAGGGAUGGAUAUGUUGAAUAGCCUUAGGGGUACAAUCGAUGACGAUUUGAUUGGUCGAGAUCCAGCUCAUGUUAAAGAUGUCUGAGCCGGAAGGAUGAAUUCUAGGAUCUGAUUGAGGAUUGCGAGCAUUCGCAACAUAUUGAAUCAAUGGACUCAAAAAGAUAAUGACAAAGGGUGCCAAUAAGAUUUCGAGGUUUAUGGGAUUAAUCAUAAUGCUAGUAAGCAAGAAUUUCAAGAGCAACAGGCUCCUGAAGAUUUUCGGAAGAUCGAAUGAUAUUUUGAACACUUUUGUGAAAUACUUGAAUCAACUGGGGAUGAGCGGAUACUCGGUAAGUGCGAGGAUUAUCCGUAGGGGUAUUCAGGUGACAAAGAACAGCAAGGUAGUAAGCUCAAAGGAUUCUCGGAACAACAGAGAGAAUUUCGGGGUAUCUUGUAAUAACAAGAUCAUCUGGGAAACAUUGUAUGAAUGGCGAGUAUACGUGGUUAUCCAUAGGAGUUUAUCGAUGAAAGGGAAUUGCAAAAGGCGAUGAACACAAGUUCUCGGGUUAUCAGCGUAGAGUAUCUUCAUGGUAUUCACGUGCAGUAGACGAUCAUCAGUAAUAAGGGGCUCUCCGGCUGAAAGUGACAACGAGAUCCUAAUGUCAGAUUUAGCAAAAUUCAAUUAACCCGAAUAGAAGAGAGAUCAGAGUCCCAGAGUAUAGACAAGGAGUAAAAGAUCCUAACAUCACCCAAUGGCGACGUGGGCCCGUAAGACACACAGCCAUGUUAGUAAAAGUUUUGCAAUGUCUAGACUCGACUUCGGCCAAGGAGUGUGGAAAGGGGGAUUCCUACAGGCAGUUGGCUCUGAUACCAACUUGUGACGCCCCCGAUUUGACCGUACACUAAUCAUGCACGCAAAUGUGUACGAUCAAGGUCAGGGACUCACGAGAAGAUAUCACAACACAACUCUACAACAUAAAUAAGUCAUACAAACAUCAUAAUACAAGCCAGGGGCCUCGAGGGCUCGAAUACAAGUGCUCGAUCAUAGACGAGUCAGCGGAAGCAACAAUAUCUGAGUACAGACAUAAGUUAAACAAGUUUGCCUUAAGAAGGCUAGCACAAACUGGGAUACAAAUCGAACGAGGCGCAGGCCUCCUGCCUGGGAUCUCCUAACUACUCCUCGAAGCCGAACUCCAUGUAGAAUCAUCCUCGGGAUCUCUAGCUCCUGGACUCCAGCAUCUGGUUGCGACAAUCAGGUAUAAAAAGGGGAAAAGAGGGAGAAAAGCAACCGUGAGUACUCAUCCAAAGUACUCGCAAGCAAGGAGCUACACUACUUAUGCAAUGGGUAUAUGUGUAAAGGGGCAUGUCAGUGGACUGAACUGCAGAAUGCCAGAAUAAGAGGGGGAUAGCUAAUCCUGUCGAAGACUACGCUUCUGGCCAUCUCCAUCUUGCAGCAUGUAGAAGAGAGUAGAUUGAAGUCCUCCAAGUAGCAUCGCAUAGCAUAAUCCUACCCGGCGAUCCCCUCCUCGUCGCCCUGUUAGAGAGCGAUCACCGGGUUGUAUCUGGCACUUGGAAGGGUGUAUUUUAUUCAGUAUCCAGUUCUAGUUGUCCUAAGGUCAAGGUACAACUCCGGGUCGUCCUUUUACCGAGGGACACGGCUAUUCGAAUAGAUAAACUUCCCUGCAGGGGUGCACCACAUAACCCAACACGCUCGAUCCCAUUUGGCCGGACACACUUUUCUGGGUCAUGCCCGGCCUCGUAAGAUCAAUGCGUCGCAGCCCCACCUAAGCACAACAGAGCGGUCAGCACACCGGUCUAACCCUAUGCGCACAGGGGUCUGGGCCCAUCGCCCUAUGCACACCUGCAUGUUGCGUACGCGGCCGGAAGCAGACCUAGCCUAGUGGCGUUCCAGUCCAAUCCGGCGCGCGCCACUCAGUCGCUGACGUCACGAAGGCUUCGGCUGAUACCACGACGCCGGGAUACCCAUAACUACUCCCGCGUAGAUGGUUAGUGCGUAUAGACCAAAUGGCCAGACUCAGAUCAAAUACCAAGAACUCGUUAAGCGUGUUAUGUAUCCGCGAACGCCGACCAGGGCCAGGCCCACCUCUCUCCUAGGUGGUCUCAACCUGCCCUGUCGCUCCGCCAUAAAGUAACAGUCGGGGGCCGUCAGGAACCCAGGCCCACCUCUACCGGGGUGGAGCCACCUGUCCUUUCAGCCCCCUCAUCAGAAUCACUUGCGGGUACUCCUCGAGCCGACCCGACUUUAGUCACCACAUGUGUCAUGUAUAGAGUAUAUAAGUAUAUACCCGUGAUCACCUCCCGAAGUGAUCACGGCCCAGUAGUAUAGCAUGGCAGACGGACAAGAAUGUAGGGCCUCUGAUGGAACACUAGCAUCCUAUACUAAGCAGUAGGAUAGCAGGUAAGGGUAACAACUGUAGCAACAAUGACAGGCUAUGCAUCAGGAUAGGAUUAACGGAAAGCAGUAACAUGCUACACUACUCUAAUGCAAGCAGUAUAGAGAAGAAUAGGCGAUAUCUGGUGAUCAAGGGGGGGGGCUUGCCUGGUUGCUCUGGCAAGUAGGAGGGGUCGUCGACUCCGUAGUCGAACUGGGCAGCAGCAGUGUCGGUCUCGUAGUCUACCGGAGAGAAGAGGGGGAAGAAACAGUAAAUACAAUGCAAACAUAAGCAUGACGAUGCGUGACAUGACAAUGAGCGGUGCUAGGUGUGUCCUAGCGCGACAGUAGGUGGUACCGGCGAAGGGGGGAACAUCCGGGAGGUAUUCCCGAUGUUUCGCGUUUUCGGACAGACGGACCGGAGGGGGAAAGUUGCUAGUUCGAUAGGUUAGGGAGGUGUGGUGGACGAACGGACUGCAUAUUCGGAUUCGUCUCGUCGUUCUGAGCAACUUUCAUAUAGAAAACAUUUUCAUCCGAGUUACGGUUUAAAAGAUAUGAAUUUUCAAAGUUUAUUUGAAUUUCUGGAAUUUUUUGAAUUACGAAAAAAUGAAUUAUGACGUCAGCAUGAGGUAAUGCUGACGUCAGCAGGUCAACAGGUCGGCUGACCAGUCAAACCAGACAGGUGGGUCCAGUGGGACCCACAUGUCAGCCUCUGUUAGUCUAACAGUAAGUUAAACUAAUCUAACAGUCUAAUUAGAGGGGUGGGCCCCAUAUGUGAGUGAGUGAUUAGUUAAUAUAAUUAUUUUUAUUUAUAAAAUAAUUGCUAGACUAAUUAACAGAAGGGGGGCCCACAUGUCAGUGGCUGGGCCUGCCCAGUCAGCACGUUGACUGGGUUGACCCAGUCAACGGGGCCCACGGGGCCCACUGGCAUUGGCACUGGGGUGGCCCCAUGCCAGCCACGUCGGCGGCCGGCGCCGGAGCGACUCCGACGAGCCAAACGCGGCGGCGCGGCUCGGGAGGGGCGCAGGUUUCGCGCACAGGGGGUCUGCGGGGUUGUGGCUGGGCGCGUUCGACGCGGCUCGGCGCCGCGUGUCCAACGGUGGUGGCCGGAGUGGCUGGAACGGGCGGGGGCGAGCGCUUCGAGCUCGCCGGCGGCGAGGUGCUUCGGGCUGGGGCGGGUGCGGCGUUAGAGCGCGCGAGCGGCCGAACUAACUAGCUAGGCGGGUGCGGCACGAUGCGGCCGAGCUAACGGGCCUACGCCCAUGACCAAAUGGUCACCGGAGACCCGCCGGCGACGAGCUCCGCGGCGCUGCGUUCGGGCGCGCGUGGGGAAGCAGCUAGGGGGCGCGCGAGAGAGAAAGGACAGGGGAGGAGGGGGAGAGGCUCACCGCGCGGCACACGGAUGCCGGUGAGAGGCUUAGGAGCAACAGGUCGGCGCCGGGGAAGAAGGGGGUCGCCGGCGUCCGAAGUUGAAGACGAGCUCGGUGUGCUCGUUGUAGGGGCUCCGGUCUCCAACGGGCUGCACCAGACGAAGCAGCGGGCGACGGCGGUCCUUGGAGACAACGUGGGGCGGCGAGGUGGGCACGGUGGCCGUGUGAACGACGGGAACGGCGGCGACCGCGUCGGGCGUGGGGAAGGAAAGAGCGGCGCGGAUCUGNNNNNNNNNNNNNNNNNNNNNNNNNNNNNNNNNNNNNNNNNNNNNNNNNNNNNNNNNNNNNNNNNNNNNNNNNNNNNNNNNNNNNNNNNNNNNNNNNNNNNNNNNNNNNNNNNNNNNNNNNNNNNNNNNNNNNNNNNNNNNNNNNNNNNNNNNNNNNNNNNNNNNNNNNNNNNNNNNNNNNNNNNNNNNNNNNNNNNNNNNNNNNNNNNNNNNNNNNNNNNNNNNNNNNNNNNNNNNNNNNNNNUGGCGUCCUUAUCCUUCCCGUCGCCGGCGAGGGGGUGCGGCGGGGACUGCCCCUGUUCCGACCCCGGUCGGGGGAACAGGGAAGGGGGGCGAGUGGGAGAGGUGGGCUGGGCCGGGGGUCGGCCCAGUUGGGCCAGGGGUGCUAUGGGGGGGGGCUUCUCCUUUUUCUUUUUCUUUGUCUGUGUUCUUUUGCAUUUUCUUUUUAUUUGUUUAUUUUCUUUUCUGUUUUAUUUAUUUUAGUUAGCAAAACAGUUUACAAAAAUACAACCCCUACUCCUAAAUUAGCAUCAUAGCAUAGGCCACCUACUCCAAAAAGUUUGGUGAUUAUAUAAACUAGAUUAACAUUUGUUUAGUAUUUAAAAGCAUUUAAAUAAUUGUUUUGCUGCUGUUUUUACUUACUAUAGUGCAGUUAAAUACUUUACAAAAGUGUGGUUUCUUCACCAAUAUUUAAUAUGGACUAUUUGGCUCACUCCGAACAUUUUAGUUUUAAUAUUUGUAAACUUUUAUUAUUUGCUUUUAUCUAAAUUUUGAAUUUGUUUCGGUUCUAAACUAUCGAGAGUUUAUCAGUAGUAAACGGGGUGACGUGGCAUCGUUAACGUGGGAUUACUGUAGCUUAAUUAUCCGGGCGUCACACCAAAGGUACUUGUUGGGUUGGCGUAUUUCGAGAUUAGGAUUUGUCACUCCGAUUGUCGGAGAGGUAUCUCUGGGCCCACUCAGUAAUACACAUCACUAUAAGCCUUGCAAGCAUUGUGACUAAUGAGUUAGUUGCGGGAUGAUGUAUUACGGAACGAGUAAAGAGACUUGCCGGUAACGAGAUUGAACUAGGUAUCGAGAUACCGACGAUUGAAUCUCGGGCAAGUAACAUACCGAUGACAAAGGGAACAACGUAUGUUGUUAUGCGGUCUGACCGAUAAAGAUCUUCGUAGAAUAUGUAGGAACCAAUAUGAGCAUCCAGGUUCCGCUAUUGGUUAUUGACCGGAGAGGUGUCUCGGUCAUGUCUACAUAGUUCUCGAACCCGUAGGGUCCGCACGCUUAACGUUACGAUGACAGUUAUAUUAUGAGUUUAUAUGUUUUGAUGUACCGAAGGUUGUUCGGAGUCCCGGAUGUGAUCACGGACAUGACGAGGAGUCUCGAAAUGGUCGAGACAUAAAGAUUGAUAUAUUGGAAGCCUAUGUUUGGACAUCGGAAGUGUUCCGGGUGAAAUCGGGAUUUUUCCGGAGUACCGGGAGGUUACCGGAACCCCCCGGUAACUUAAUGGGCCUUAGUGGGCCUAGGUGGAAGAGAGGAGAGGAGGCCAGGGCAGGGCCGCGCGCCCCUCCCCCCCAGUCCGAAUAGGACAAGGAGAGGGGGGGCGCCCCCCUUCCUUCCUCCCCUCCACCUCUUCCCCCCCUCUCUCCUAGUCCAACAUGGAAAAGGGGGGAGUCCUACUCCCGGUAGGAGUAGGACUCCUCCUGGCGCGCCUCUCCUCCUUGGCCGGCGGCCUCCCCCUUGCUCCUUUAUAUUCGGGGUAGGGGGGCACCUCUAGACACACAAUUGAUCAACGAUCUUUUAGCCGUGUGCGGUGCCCCCCUCCACCAUAUUACACCUCGAUAAUAUCGUAGCGGUGCUUAGGCGAAGCCCUGCGUCGGUAGAACAUCAUCAUCGUCACCACGCCGUCGUGCUGACGAGACUCUCCCUCAACACUCGGCUGGAUCGGAGUUCGAGGGACGUCAUCGAGCUGAACGUGUGCUGAACUCGUAGGUGCCGUGCGUUCGGUAUUUGAUCGGUCGGAUCGUGAAGACGUACGACUACAUCAACCGCGUUGUGUUAACGCUUCCGCUUUCGGUCUACGAGGGUACGUGGACAACACUCUCCCCUCUCGUUGCUAUGCAUCACCAUGAUCUUGCGUGUGCGUAGGAAUUUUUUUGAAAUUACUACGUUCCCAACAAUGGAAGCAUAUAUUGUCAAAUCUAGGGUUAUAAAUCAUCUAUAAAUCAAAUCCCUAUGGAAGAGCAUACGUAAUUAUUAAUUCAAAUGUACACACAAAUUCCUAUGUAUGUGAUUUACAAUACAAAUCAACAACAUGAUGUUCCCCAAUGUUUACAAGUAAUCUACAUAGGCUAAAUCAACACACAUUCAAUCUAUUUCCCAUAGAAAUUUCAAAUCAAUCAAAACUAGGGUUUCAUCACAAACACGAAGAAUGGGGAUGGUAUUUUGGAUAGAAAGAAAGGGAUUGGAGGAGAUUACCUUCUAGGAUGGAUUGGGCAACAAAUCCACGGACGAAAUCUUCAAAUCUGAAGUUCUUUGGACAGAGGAUUGAUAGGGGGAGUGGAGAGAGCCGCUGCUGCCGUCUCUGUUCCAACCACUGGAACGGAUGGAUGGGGAUGGGGAAGGGCCGGCCCGCUGCGGUUACUAAGUCAGCAUGCAGCGCCUAUGCGCUAGGCGCUGCACAUGGCUGUGUGGCACCUACUCUCUAAGCGUUGCACGGCCAGGUGUGGGGCCAUGCCUGGACCAGGGAUGCCACGCUGACCGGACGUGCAGCGCCUUAGAGCUAGGCGCUGCACAGUGGGGUGCAUCGCCUUGCUGUCGGGCGUUACAUGAAAGGGUCAGUUGAGCUAUUUUUUUUUAAGCAGUUCACACUGUGGAUGCUCCCACCAGCAUAGCACGGUCACGUGACCGGACACAUGCCGCUCCAGCACUGGUGCUCGGCCUCACCCACUAAACUGCACUGCUCUGUACUAACGUCGUACCGAAUCCCUGCUAUCGCGGGCCUCAAAUCCGUCAAUGGCGUCCACGCCCUCCCUCACCCUCCUCCUCGCUCUUCUGCUGCCCCUCAUCCCUCUCGCCGUCGCAGCUCCGGAGAAGCACCUCGUGACCCACCUCCCGGGCUUCGACAGCGCCCUCCCAUCCAAACACUACGCCGGGUACAUAACCGUGGACGAGAGCAAUGGCAGGAGGCUGUUCUACUACCUGGUGCUGUCGGAGCGUGAUCCGGCCAUCGACCCCGUCGUGCUCUGGCUCAGCGGCGGCCCCGGCUGCUCCAGCUUCGACGGAUUCGUCUACGAGAACGGUCUGGAUUGAUCUUAUUCUUACCUCUCUUCCGGACCGGCAGUUUCUUUUGUUAUCUUCUUGUGAUUUUGGCUGGGAUGACCCGUCCGGUGCCCUGUUCUUUGCUCAGGUCCCUUCAACUUUGAGCGCGGAAGCACUCCCGGAGGGCUGCCCAAGCUGCAGCUCAAUCCCUACAGUUGGUCAAAGGUAAUCCGCAUACCUGAACACAGUUUAGGAGCACAGGCCUAUCCCGCAGCAGCCUGCCCAGAAUUUAGGAGUACUAAUCUUGUUCAGCUCUACUAAAUUGUCAUAGAACGAGCAGUGUUUUUUUCCAUGCCAAGUGAUUGAAUAAAUGUGUCAUUAAACUGGAGUAACUAGGUUUCAAGCAUGAUGUACCUGGACUCCCCUGCCGGUGUUGGAUGUCAUACUCAUUGAACAAAUCGGAUUACAAAACAGGUGACUUGAAAACCGCAGCCGAUGCGCAUAUCUUCCUUUUGAAGGUAAUAAUCUCUGCUUCAGUUGCGAUUAUUUACAUGACAUAAUGCAAGAAACUGGAUGCUGAUUUUACUCGUUGUUGCAGUGGUUCGAGUUAUACCCGGAGUUUCAGUUGAACCCAUUCUACAUUUCCGGAGAGUCAUAUGCAGGGAUAUACAUGUUAGGUUGAUCUCUCUCCCGUUCGAACCCAACGGGUCGAACGGGCCCCUGACUCGCGCCCUGAUCGGGGGCGCCCAACCAAACCAUGGUUGGUGGGCCCCUUGACCCGCGCUAUAUAAACAGAGAUGGGGGCCGGGGCACGACCUACGAGGUUAAUCGCUGCCACAAUCCCCACCGACACUCCCUACCGAUCUAGGGUUAGCGCGGUGCUCACGGGAAGCUCCACCGCCGCCGCCAUACACUCUCUGUCAUCACCGCCGUCGCCAUCCACCAUUGCCACCUCGGCGGGAUCAUUGACUCAGAGAGAAGGUAGGACUACCGGAUCUAAUCUAGCCUAGUGAUCCAAGAGUCCAUCAAUGGUAUCAGACUGGCUAGGAUAUAGAUUGAUUUCGGUACAAAGGUAAAACAGAGAAAGACAAAAGAAAUCCCCUCCCCCAAGAACCCUAGACAGGGCAAAGAAUGAAUCCUCCACGGAAAAAGUAGCGCCGCCGCAAGGCCGCGCCGUUCCUCUCGAUCCGGACGGGCAUCGGCAAGCCGAGCCGUUCGGAAGAAGAACACACCCUGCAAAGGGCAAAGGGGCACCGCAGCCACGCCGUUCGACGGCGGCGCGCUUCCGCUGAGGGAAACGCGUCACCGGCGAAGGGGAGGCAACGGCGCCACGGAUCGUCGCCGGACGCAAAGGGAAGGGCUCAGUCGAGCCUCACUCGCCUCUCUUUGCCACUGGAUUCGGUGGAUGGGGCGAAUGGAAAAGGGAAGGCCUGCUCGCGCGCGGCUCGCGCGGUGCGGUGGCUUCACGCCGUCGCCGGCGGAGCACCAACCCGGCUGCAGGGGAGCAGAGGGCUUGGCCGCGCCUCACUGCCGCUCUUUCUGUCAGAGCAAGGGGGAAAAGAAAGGGGAAAGGAGGGGAAAGAGAAGCGGCGCGGUGGCGCUCGUCGCCGUCNNNNNNNNNNNNNNNNNNNNNNNNNNNNNNNNNNNNNNNNNNNNNNNNNNNNNNNNNNNNNNNNNNNNNNNNNNNNNNNNNNNNNNNNNNNNNNNNNNNNNNNNNNNNNNNNNNNNNNNNNNNNNNNNNNNNNNNNNNNNNNNNNNNNNNNNNNNNNNNNNNNNNNNNNNNNNNNNNNNNNNNNNNNNNNNNNNNNNNNNNNNNNNNNNNNNNNNNNNNNNNNNNNNNNNNNNNNNNNNNNNNNNNNNNNNNNNNNNNNNNNNNNNNNNNNNNNNNNNNNNNNNNNNNNNNNNNNNNNNNNNNNNNNNNNNNNNNNNNNNNNNNNNNNNNNNNNNNNNNNNNNNNNNNNNNNNNNNNNNNNNNNNNNNNNNNNNNNNNNNNNNNNNNNNNNNNNNNNNNNNNNNNNNNNNNNNNNNNNNNNNNNNNNNNNNNNNNNNNNNNNNNNNNNNNNNNNNNNNNNNNNNNNNNNNNNNNNNNNNNNNNNNNNNNNNNNNNNNNNNNNNNNNNNNNNNNNNCGACGCGGUGCGCUGACCCGCGGUCGGAUCGAGAGAAGCACCGAGCGGCGCGCGCGGGGGGAAACUCGCUAGGGUUACACUCGAUUCGAUCGGAGCGGCUGUUUUGUUCGUCCGAUCCGCGCGCUGGACCGUCGGAUUUCUCCGACGGCCAGGCAGCAAACCCUAAGCCGCGCCAGGCCAAGUGGGCCGAAAGUGAAGGCGGGCGUAGCCGCGCAGGCGCUGGGCUGUGGCUGCAGCUGCGGGCGGCCCAGGCCGGGUCGAGGCGGCUCGACUCGCGCGAGCGUGCGGGGGAGCAGGCCGUGGGCCGCUGCGGGUCUCCCGCGCCAGGCCGAGGUCGGGUGGAGCUGCCAUUUUUUAUUUUCGUUUUAAUAGUUUUUAGGCAGUUUUCUAAUAGAUUUUCUAUGCAAUUUUUCACCCAACGAAAUUUUGUUUAGAGUACAAAAAAGUAAAAGAAAAUGUUCUGAAAAGUAAACAGAAAAGUUUCUGAAAAUGAAAAUAGAAAAUUUUCAGAAAAAUAAAUGUUCAUGAAUUUUACAAAGAAAAUAAUAAAGUUCAUGAAUUUUUAUUUGAUCAAAGAAAAGUUUCUGUAAAGAAUAAAAAGUUCAUGAAUUUUUUAUUCAUGUUUUUCCGCUGCGUAAAUAAUUAAUAGUGCUCUUUUACGAAGAAAAUAAAAGUUUAGAUAGAAUUAAGUUUUUAAGAGCAUGUUAAAGUGAUUAUUAAAAUGAAUAUGGUUAUGUUAUUUUUAUGACCAACGUUGUUAAUAACAUGAUCAUGUUUAUUAUUGAAAAUAAAAGUGCUCUUUUAAAAGUGAAUAGAACUAAAGUAAAAGAUUAAAUUGUUGCUUCUGUAAUGCAUUUUUUAACCAACUGGUUAAAAUUGCUUAGAGAGUAAAAGAGUACAGAUUGUUUUUUGAAUAGAAUAUUGUAAAGUUUCCGCUGCAAAGUAAAAAUUUUAUCCUCCAAUUAAAUUGGAACCAACGGGAAAGUUUAAUUGGAAGAAAUGCUCUAAGCAAUGUUUUUCCCCUGUGGGUGAAAUAAGAUGCAGAUAGUUUCCGCUAUGACAAAGGAAAAGAUAUUUGUUUUAAAGUUAAAAAUAUGGUAUUGUUAUUUUCUGACCAACGUUGAUGAUAACAGUGCUAUAAUUCUAUGAGUCUUAUGUUCAAAGUUUAAAUCUCUGAUAAAUUUGGUAUCAAAGUGAUCAACUUUUUAGAGAACGGAUAAAGAUCAAGAAAUGCUCUUGAACUAGAGAAAUGUAUAUUGCUUGUUCCCGCUGCAAUAAAGUUGAUGAUGAUGAUUAAUUCUUAGCAAAGUUGUUUAAUAAAAAUACUAUCAUCACAUUGUUUAUGAGUUAUAUGCAUUAUUUCCAUUUCUGCCCAACGGUGAUAUGGAAUUAAUGUAGAAGGAUGAUGUUUAUUCUAAUUCUGCCACAACGGUGAUUUAGAAUAUUAAAGAAAGUUUCAAAAGUUUAAUGUGCAUUUUUUUAACCAGACCAACGUAGGGUUAUUUUUAUGCCAAUUAUUGUUGAUUAUUGGUUAUGUUUUCUCAGACUAAAAGUUUUUCGUGCUUUCAUUCGUGAAAGCGAAUGGCUGGGUACUUGUGCCCCGAAAGAUGACUAAGAAAGGUCAUAACGUGAGGGAGUAUGUUCUCUCUAAAGAAUAGCAUCAAAAGAAAAGAGAUAGAUCAUUGAGAGUCAUGGUUGAUGAAUGUCUUUCAUGUACUCUCUAUGAAGAAGAUUUUUCAGUCAACAUGAUUUGAGAUGAAACAAGCAACAUGCGUGUUUAAUUUGACCAACGUCGGAUCAAACAUGUGUGUCAAAGAGCAUUCAGAUUUAUUCCUAAAUUUGAUGAUUGAAUAUGCAGUCAAAAGAGCCAAUUCUGGCAUUUAUGUUCCCUGUAAGGGAACAUAAAUGCCAGACCAACGUAGGUAACGGGAAAAGAUGAUUAUGAUAAAACCUGCAUGGCGGGAAAGGUCUGGGAAAAUACCUGCGUAACGGGGUAAAGCUGACAUAAUAUUAUGUCAAAAAUCCCGUAUGGCGGGAGAAAUUCUCGCAAGAGAAAGAUAUGAUAACUCAUGUGCUUUUAAUGUAUCCCACUCUCGGAGAAAAGAAUGGAGUAGCUGAAAGGCGCAACCGUACACUUAUGAAUAUGGUGCGCAGCAUGAUGAGUUAUUCCAACUUGCCAUUGGGAUUAUGGAUGGAGGCGCUUAAAACCGCCAUUCACAUUCUCAAUAGAGUACCAAGCAAGUCGGUGCCCAAAACACCGUACGAGAUAUGGACAGGAAGGGUGCCCUCCCUAAAACACUUCAGGGUGUGGGGGUGCCCUGCUGAGGCCAAAAUGUUUAAUCCAAACAUUGCAAAGUUAGAUCCCAAAACAGUAAGUUGCCACUUCAUUGGCUAUCCAGACAGAUCAAAAGGUUUUCGUUUCUACUGCCCUGACAGAUAUACAAAGUUUGUAGAAACGAGACAUGCAGUCUUCUUAGAAGACGAAAUGAUGAGGGGGAGCUUGGUAGCUCGGAAAAUUGAUCUUGAGGAGAAGAGGGUGCAUGCACCUAAUCCGAUGAUUCAGGAGCCAUUUUUCUCACUACCAGUUGCAACUCCACCCAUGACAGCUAUGGGAAAAGACCCGGAACCUGUCCGUCAGGAGCCGACUGAACCCGAUGUUGAGCAUGAAAGGGAGGUGCAACAGCAAAUUUUAGAAGAAGUGCCAGAAGUUGAGGCACAAAAUGUGCCAGAAACUGAGGCCCUUAGAAGGUCUACAAGAUCAAGAAAGUCAGCUAUUCCUACUGACUUUAAAGUUUAUAACACAGAAAUGGUUCAUAUGGAAAAAGAUCCCACCUCAUAUGAAGAAGCCAUGAGAAGCCCUCAUUCAUCGAAGUGGAUGAAGGCAAUGGAAGACGAGAUGAAAUCGAUGAGUUCCAAAGAUGUUUGGGACUUAGAGGAAAUUCCUAAAGGAGCCAAAACAGUAGGCUGUAAAUGGGUCUACAAAAUUAAGUAUGACUGUAAAGGGAAUAUAGAAAAGUAUAAAGCACGACUCGUGGCAAAAGGAUUUACACAAAGAGAAGGGAUAGAUUACAAUGAGACAUUUUCUCCAGUCUCAUGUAAGGAUUCCUUCAGAAUCAUAAUGGCAUUAGUUGCUCAUUUUGAUUUAGAGUUACAUCAAAUGGAUGUUAAGACGGCAUUUCUGAAUCGUGAUUUAAAAGAAAAGGUCUACAUGAAACAACCCAAGGGUUUUAUCAUGGAAGGCAAGGAAAAUAUGGGAUGCCGCCUGAAGAAAUCCAUUUAUGGAUUAAGACAAGCCUCUCGGCAAUCAAACGAUUAAAAGUUUUGGAUUUAAAAGAAAAUAUUGAGGAUAAUUGCAUUUAUGCAAAGUUUAAAAAUGGGAAAUAUAUUUUCCUAAUCUUGUAUGUGGAUGAUAUCCUGCUUGCUAGUAGUGAUGUUAGUCUACUACAAGAAACAAAGAAAUACGUAUCCUCAAAUUUUGACAUAACAGAUCUUGGUGAAGCAUCAUAUGUUUUGGGCAUAGAAAUUCACCGAGAUAGGAACAAUGGAGUCUUAGGACUAUCGCAGAAAGCAUAUUUAGAAAAGGUUCUUAAAAAGUAUAAUAUGCAUGCGAGCAAAGCCACAUCCUGCUCCAAUAGUCAAGGGCGAUAGUUUUGGGAAAUUCCAAUGUCCCAAGAACCAGUAUGAGAUCGAUCAAAUGAAAGCAGUACCAUCGGCAGUUGGCAGCUUACAGUAUGCACAAGUGUGCACUCGCCCUGACUUAGCUUUUAUCACCGGGGUACUCGGUAGAUAUCAAGAGAAUCCAGGCCUAGAGCACUGGAAGAUGGUAAAGAAAGCAUUGCAUUAUGCGCAAGGCACGAAGGACUACAUGCUAAUAUACAGGAGAAGUGAUUCCCUAGAGAUAAAAGGGUAUUCAGACGCAGAUUUUGCGGGGGGCAGAGAUGAUAGAAAAUCCACGUCAGGAUACGUCUUCACUCUCGCUGGGGAGCUAUUUCGUGGAAAAGCUCCAAGCAGUCGAUAGUUGCAUCAUCCACGAUGUAUGCAGAAUUUAUAGCAUGCUUCGAGGCCACGGGGCAGGCGAUAUGGCUAAAGAAAUUUGUACCCAACUUGAAAGUGGUAGAUUGCAUUCACAAACCACUAAAGAUGUACUGUGAUAACCAGCCCGCAGUAUUCUAUGCUCAUAACAACAAGUCGAGUAAUGCUGCCAAAACAAUAGAGAUAAGGUAUUAUGUUGUGAAAGAUAAAAUCCAGGAUCAAACUAUAAGUCUCGAGCAUAUAAGGACAAAGGAUAUGCUUGCGGAUCCGCUAACGAAAGGCUUACCACCCAAUGUGUUCAAGGAACACUUAGCCGGCAUGGGUUUAAGGGAAAGCCUUAUGAUUCCUGGAUAGGCCCAAAAGGAACAUAAUUUGUUUCUGAACAUAACGUAUGUUGUAGAUGUAUGAUUCUAACGGCAAUUAAGCCGUGACGAUGAAACAUGCUCUAUGUACCAAUAUGUGAUGAAACAGAUAAACUAGAAAGUAUAAAGUUAAAAGUAAAGUUGAGAUCAAGGGGGAGAAUGUUAGGUUGAUCUCUCUCCCGUUCGAACCCAACGGGUCGAACGGGCCCCUGACUCGUGCCCUGAUCGGGGCGCCCAACCAAACCAUGGUUGGUGGGCCCCUGUGCCCCGCGCUAUAUAAACAGAGGUGGGGGCCGGGGCACGACUUACGAGGUUAAUCGCUGCCACAAUCCCCACCGACACUCCCUACCGAUCUAGGGUUAGCGUGGUGCUCACGGGAAGCUCCACCGCCGCCGCCAUACACUCUCUGUCAUCACCGCCGUCGCCAUCCACCAUUGCCACCUCGGCGGGAUCAUCGACUCAGAGAGAAGGUAGGACUACCGGAUCUAAUCUAGCCUAGUGAUCCAAGAGUCCAUCAAUACAUUCCUACACUAGCUGAUGAAGUUGUUAAAGGUGGAUUUUGUCACUCACAGCGAGUAGAUUAUUCAUAGUUGAGAUCAGAAGUUUCUUACAUCUCAUCUUUACGUCGUUACAGGGAUACAAAUGGCUCUGAAGCCAAGAAUCAAUUUGAAGGUCAUUCCCACUAACAUUUUAUUCGUCGCCAUUUAGUUGUGCAUGCAAACUUGUGUGUGAGUUUACAGUCUGAGGUGUUUGCAUCCAGGGCUAUCUAAUUGUUUUUUUUUUCUUCUUUUUGCGGGAGCCAGGGCUAUCUAAUUGGUAAUGGAGCAACCGACGCAGACUACGAUUUAAACUCUUUUGUGCCGUUUGCACAUGGAAUGGGUCUCAUAUCAACUGACUUGUUUGAGGUGUUUUGCUUCGUCUUGUUUCUGCAUAAUUGCCGGUGCCACAAGUAGUUUCAUUGUGGACAGAUAGCAAGCUAACAGUGUCUUGACUGUUUGCCCUGUUUCAGGAUGUCAGUGCUGCUUGCCACGGCACAUUCUGGGGAAAAGUUAAUGAUGUGUGCCAAGAAAAUAUAGAUAGAGUCCGUUGGGUAAUAUCCAUGUACCAGAACCUGUAAACCGACAAGCAAAUACGCAACCUUCCAAAUUCUGUAAGGCCUCAAUUUGUGUUGUCAUCUGCAGGAACUGAAAGACCUGAACACGUACAACAUUCUUGCACCAUGCUACCACCACCCUGAAGUCCAAGAGACAGCGUUCGUGAACAGCAGCUUGCCAUCAAGCUUCAGAAAGCUAGGUGAAACAGAGAGGCCUUUCCCAGUGAGGAAGAGGAUGGCGGGGCUUUCAUGGCCUCUCGGUCUUCCUGUGAGCAGCGGACAUGUCACGUUGUGGCCCGAGCUUGGCGGUAAAUCACUUCCAUGCACGGUAUGAAAAUUAUAUCAAUGCCCUUAUAGUUAUAUGUAGAUCAUUUACAAUUUGUUGUUUUCAUUUUCCAUACACAUACAUCAUUUCAUAAGUAUGGUUGGUCCUCUCAUUUAUAACAAUUAUAUGUCCUCAGAGAGUGAUGAACUUGCUACUAUAUGGCUGGAUGAUGAAGAUGUAAGAGCUGCCAUUCACGCCAAACCGGUAUGAUGGUUGAUGCGAGACAAAUUAGUGUGAAUUUAAUCCUAAAAUUGGCACAAAUUAACUAACUCUUGUUUGUCGGGAAUAACCUCGAUCGAAAUUGGCACAUCAGAAAAGCUUAAUUGGAUCAUGGGAAUUGAAUACUGCAAGAAUAGACUACAUUCAUGAUACAGGCAGCAUGGUGGAGUAUCACAAAAAAUUCACAGCCAUGGGAUAUCGCGUACUUAUUUACAGGUAUGGGGCACACCUGCAACUUGAUCAUUUGACAAUGUUAACACUGAGUAACUUGUUUCCUGCAAAAGAAGACACCGAUUAAUAUAUGGAAUCAAAUUAGGGUGAAGGUUCAGUAGAGAACAGGUUGAACUACUAGGAAAUAAUACAUUUAACUGUCCAAUCAAACUGACUUUUUUCUAGUAAAGCAAAACUAACAGAUUGGUUGUGCAUAAUACAUUUUCUGCUUACGGUUAUUGCUUAAGAACGGAAGGAAAAAAAUUCAUAUUUGAAUAGGAUAGCGAAGCACAAGUCUCGAUUCAAUGUAAAGAACGUGAAUAUAACCUUCAGGAAGAAAACAACCCUUUCAAACUUUAGUCCUAAUAUUUAUUGUGGGUAAAUUGGUUCAGACAAUAGUAUUAGACUCUUGAUACCUGGAAUUUUUUCGAAAAGAGGGGAUGCCCCUCGGCCUGUGCAUGAAGUGAUGCACACAGCCUUUCUUGGUACCUGGAAUAGAAAUUAGCUUUAUCAAUAAGGAUAUCUUUAACCCACAUGCUUACAUUGAUGUACAUGUGUUGUGCUUAAGGCAUAAAGUUGUCCAUUUAGAAUGCUUCAAACGAACGGUGGAAACACAACCGUCAGAGAGAAUCACUCUGUAAACAAAUAUAAGACGUUUUAAAUCACUAAAGUAGAUGGCUGUCUGCAUCCUAUGAUGCAGAGGCCGGGGUAAUCCCCUUUUCGAAAAAAAAUCACUAAAGUAGUGACCUAAAAUGUCUCACAUUUAUUUUCAAAAGAACUUCUCGAGAUCUGGUUGGCAAGAUUAGGCACUCUCUCCCUCCCCUCGAGUUGCUCCCGCAAGCGACCGAGGGGAUAACCCUAGCCGCCGGCGCGCGUUCCCCCUCCCUCCCUUCCCUCCCCUCGCCACCGCCUGUCCGCGCCGCCGGGCAAAGCCCGGUGGGUGCUGGCGGCGGAGGGGCCCUUUCUCUCCCUGCUCAUGGGGGCUUGGCGCGGGCGGGCGCUCCCGGGCGGCGGCGCGCGGCUGUGCUCGGCUGCGGAGUUGCGGAGCGGCAUGCCGGGCGUGGAGGGCUGGACGCAGGUGGUGCAGGGCGGAUGCGUGGCCGGGGUGGCGGUGGCGGUGGCGGCGGCGGCGGCUUCGGCUGGAUCUGCCCCGCGGGCUGCGGCGGCUCUGUUCAAGGCGUGCCUGGUGGCCGAUGGGCGGCUCAGGCGACGGUCGACCCCCUCUCCUCUACUCUUUGGCUGGUGUGUGUGGCGGACGGUGGCGGCCGGCUGGUGGAUGCCGGCGGCUCGACGGGGGUGCCGUUGGCUGGCCGGUGGUGGUGGGGGCGGUCCGGGGAGGGAGGCAGGGGGCCUCCUNNNNNNNNNNNNNNNNNNNNNNNNNNNNNNNNNNNNNNNNNNNNNNNNNNNNNNNNNNNNNNNNNNNNNNNNNNNNNNNNNNNNNNNNNNNNNNNNNNNNNNNNNNNNNNNNNNNNNNNNNNNNNNNNNNNNNNNNNNNNNNNNNNNNNNNNNNNNNNNNNNNNNNNNNNNNNNNNNNNNNNNNNNNNNNNNNNNNNNNNNNNNNNNNNNNNNNNNNNNNNNNNNNNNNNNNNNNNNNNNNNNNNNNNNNNNNNNNNNNNNNNNNGGGGAGGGGGUCUUGGAUGCCGUGGCGGCGGCCUCAGUGGUGGUGGUAGUCGUGUUGCUUGUGGGCGGGGGUGCGCGGCUCAGGUGUGGGCUGGUCGCUAUGGUUGUUCGGGCGACGCGGCGGCCGGUGCUUCGGCGAGCGGAGGUGUUUUGAAGGUGGAGGGUGCGCCAGGAGAGAUCCCCUGCUCGGCUUCGGUUGGGCCGACGACGACGGCGUCCGCGGGCAUUGUCUCCUUCCUGAAGGCGUCGUCGUGGCUACUCUCCUCCUUCGGAUGGUCCAGGUGAAAACCAUGAUCCUUUGGAUCCGACGGCGACGGCGCUCCGGUGUCGUUCUCCUUCUUGAAGGUGCCGUCUUGGAGGCCUACUUUCGCAGAGCUCAGCUUCGUGGUUGUUCCUUUACCUGUUGUAUCCGGCCUUGGGUGUGUUGUGUGCUGGUGUGGUGUGGUGUUGAAUUGUUUGCGAUGAUUGUUAUCGGUGAUGGUUGCUUUAUAAUAUAAACGGGGGAAACCCUUUUUCAGUAUUGUGGAUUUUUGGCACUAUGGGUCACAAAUUGGUCAUCUUUUACAACUCACAAGUGUGUUUUUUCUUUUGCGAAUAACUCACAAGUGUGUAACUUUGUCACUUUGUUAGUGCUCAUACUUUUGUGCAAUACAUACUUGUGUGAUAAAUUUGAAAUGUGCAGCCUCCCCUUUUUUGCAACACGGGGUAUGUACCGGUGCUCACCUUUGCAUUUUUCCGAUAUGUAAUCACUUUAUUGAAAAAGAGAAAUGAUGUUUAACAACUUUUGGGUGUUUAAUUGUACAGUGGAGAUCAUGAUCUGUGUAUCCCUUUCACUGGAACGGAGGCAUGGGUCAGAUCAUUAGGCUACCGAGUUGUCGAUUCAUGGCGACCAUGGCACUUUGGGGGUCAAGUUGCUGGGUAUGAUGUUCUACCAUCUUUCUCUACAACUGUACAUGUUUCUCCUUGAUUAUUCACCAUUCACAUAUGUUUCUGAUUUAGUUAUAUAUCUGCCAUCUGAUGCGCCAAUUGAUAGAGCAUGCAUGUUUUUAUCACUAUUUUUUUGAAACGGAGGCAAAUGUUUUGCCUCGUCUCAUUAGUUAAGUAGAGUUGCCCGGUCCUUAGCUGUUUUGGACUUCAUGUUAGCAUUAACAAAACAUAAAAAAACAUUUAUCUGAACUGAUUUAAGUUCCCUGCUUUAUGCGACCGCAGAUAUACACAAGGCUAUGAUCACAAUCUCACCUUCCUCACCAUAAAGGUAUGCAAGCAAGCUUUGAAGUCCAUCUGGAGAAUGUUGUAGAGACACAAACUUAAAUCGACAAGAGUUUAUUAUAUGGCUGAGGUUUUCUGACAAGCACCAUGUUUCAGGGAUCUGGACACACUGUUCCUGAGUACAAGCCCAAAGAAUCGCUGGCAUUCUACACCCACUGGCUGUUUGGAGAAAAGAUCUAAAAUUGAUCUAAAUGAAACAAUCAAAUUUUGUAGACAUGCAUCUUAUUUUUUUCCUAGCUGUUUUUAUUGUAGAUUUUGAUAAAGACUGUACCUGUACCUGUUUUCAGUGUGAAACCCAAUAAACAAUCCAAGGCUCUGAUAAAUUUCCGCGUACAUUCUCUUGCUGAGCGUUAGAAACACCAGAAAAGCAGGUGAAAUAUACAUAAAACUGGACAUUAGCAUUCUACCAGAAAACAUUACACCGGCGACUCAGAAAGCUACUGCAGAAAGAAAUAUCAUGAUGAUCUAGAGAAAUACUAGCAACCAAGGUUUCAGCUACAACAACCCAUACAGUUCCUCCCAAAAGGACACAAUCAGAACGCAGUCAACACAGACAAUCACUUGAAGUUCAGCAGCGGGCAGCACCUGCUAUGGCCAUCAGGCACCAUGUGAUGAUGUGGCGAGCUGUUCAUAUGGUUUGCCGGCAACAGCAACCACAAUGAAUCACAAGUCAGUAUAUAUGCGAACUUUAGAAUAGACCAAACAGCAGGGUACGCUGUUGAUUUUGGAGAAAAGCAGCAGCAUACGAGCAAACAAAUUACACAAGUGAACCUUCAAUGUCUCGUGCAGAAUGGAUACUUAAAAUGACAUCAGAAACACACUGAAGUUACUUAUUGCAAUCAUCCUAGCCCAGAAACAUUUUCACUAGAACAAGUUGAUUUAUGGAAGGUAUCCAUGUCGGAGCAAAACAGCAGAGCCAUGCCCAGUAGGCUAUCAGCAACUUGUCACUGCAACCCACGCACACAUCAACACUAC